rnacentral:lncRNA from 1 species
GCAUUCUAUAAUGAGCAAGAAAGUGGAAUUGACUAAUUGAUUAUGAGCAUAAUUGAAUUGAAUGGAAGGAAGAAGAUUCACAAUGAUAUUUUUAUCACCUUUUUUAAUUCAUUAAUGAAGGGUGAUAUACAUAUUAUACACUAUAAGUUUUACCUCUAUUUUAGCCUAAAAAUGUGAAUAUUGGAAAAUAGUCAUAACUAAUAUGAUACAAACUAUUAUUAAUAUGAUACAUCAAUAACAUUUGAUGACUUUGGAGAAGCCUUUUACAACACCAAAAGGUUUCCAAAUACACAUAUAUUCAUCAAUGAAACAAAGAGGUACACGCAUACGCUUGAUAUUCAGAGAUAUGUCAAACCACAAUAAUAUACUCAAUCUUAAUCUUUAUUCUUCUUCUUUUGAGAUGACUUUGAGAGCCUUAUUGUUUUCGUCGUUGAUCCUUAGAAGAUUUCACUUGGAUCACAAUACUAUAUACUUAUCUAAAAUUUACCAUAUGAGUCAAGAUCUUCUUAUUGAAAUCAGAAGUCUUGAUUUUGAUCGUAAUCUUGAUUUUCCUUGUGUUUUGUAAUAGGAGCCAAGACAAAAGAGGAAUUGGCUAUAAGGACAUUAUUAUUGUUGUUGGUGUUACUGAUGGAGUUAUUAUAUGAUUUCGAAUCAUCUAAAAUUUCAUUAUCACUAUUCUUUUUGGUUUUGAUUAGAAGAGAGUUUUGUUGGGAAGUGUUGAUGUCUUUCUUUGUUUUUUGGAGGGGAUAAAGGAGAUCUGUUGGGAAGAAAUUGUAUUGAAGGCCAGCCAUGAAAAGUGUGUUAUUAUCACUUAGUUCUUUUUUUUGAUGUUUUUGUUUUGUUUUGUUUUAAAGAAUUGGAUGGGUUGUGCACUUAUAUUUAUAGGCACUAAGAAAUUGGGAUUUUUGAAGAGUCAAUGACUAAUUGGCUAUUGAUUGGUGUGGAGGAUCAAAAUAAGUAAUAAAUAGUAGAGAGAAAUAAAAAAAAAGAAAAGAGAAAAUCAAACAAAUUAAUAUUAAGUCACUAUUGUGUAUAUAUUAUAUAAAAAAAAAAUAUAAACAUUGCUUAAUCAUGGUUUGAGUCAAUAUUCGAAGUGUAUACCUAGAUUAUUCGAAUAAUUAAUCCACAUACUAAUUAGUAUUAGGGAAGAACAAGUACUCCAUAAUUUUUAAUUGGCUCUAGUUGUGACACUUGUCCAAGUGAAAAACCAUUGCUUCUGGAUAGUUGGCUAAAGGCAGGCAUGAUUUUGACUAGUAUCUAUUUCUUUACCAAAUUAAAUUUGUCACCAAACAUUUUUAUUUAAUUGUGUAUACUAUAUGAUAUUCUUGCACUUUGUAAUACAUGUUAUACUUGCUAAACUAAAUGAACAAGUCACUAGAGCGAGGGAUGUUAAGCGCCUUUUAUUCAUGUCACAACUUAUUUUAAGAUAUAUAAUAACAAUAAUUAUUGAGAAAUAUGACAAAUGCAAAUUUUCUAGAUAUUAUAAAAAUAACAUGAAUCAACUAUGAUAUUUAGUUAAUUUAUCGCUAAAUAAGCAGUAGCUAACAUGAUACUUGACUAUACCAUCAGGCACCAUUCAUGGUACUCUGCUCUUAUGUAUAUAUAUUGUUCAGGCUCUUUAAAAAUAUUGCUGUGCCUCUAACAAACCUGAAUUAUUCAUAACUGAAACACGAUUAUAACUUUAGAAUAGUAAUUGCAAUACAUAAACUAUUGAAUUACAAUGGAAACAAUAAGUAACUAAUGAUAGAGAUAAGAAUGAGAAGCGUAAACUCUAGAAGAAGAAGAAAGAACAACAAUUUUUCUUCGAUAUGCAUAAACCCUGAAUUACAUACAACUAUCUCAUUUUGAUGAAACUAUUCUCACACUCACUAUCCAGCUCGGAUUUCAAAUUAACCCAGUCUUAUUGAUUGUUCUCAAUCUAAUAACUCUUGUCCACCCAACUACUUGUGUGACCUUAAUAUUCAUAUUAAGUUGAAUUUGGUUCAUAACUAACAACAAACAAAUAUUUUUAUUUCAAAAGAUUCUUUUAUUAAAUAUAUUUACAAAGCUAAAUAAUCAAAAUAUUUUGAAAUUGUUUCUCGGAGAAAUGACAAUUACUUUUAUUAAGCCAAGAUUUUUUGUCCAUCUUACACCUUUACAUACAUGUUCACUUUGCAUGGAAGAGUUUGGACAAGUGGCUCAUUAUACCAUUUCUUUCUAACUCUUUAAAUACUACUCUUUUGUUCUUUUAGCUUUAGGAAUACAUAGAAAUUGACAAACAUUCUGCCUUAUUUAUGAAUCUCUCGUUUUCACCAUUUCUGUUCUCAUGGUUGUUUUAAUUAUAAUUAUUUUGGCAUAGGAAAGUGCUUGUUUAAUUUUUAGGAAACAUUUCAUACUGUUGAAUAGUUUUUUAGGAUAAUGCUCAACAUGAUUCAAGUAUUAAUUUUAUACACUAUUAUUUAAUAGUAUCAGCGUAGUAAUAUUUAUCUAUUUUCAGGACUGCUAUUUUGCUAAAUAAUAAAAUUAUAUAUUAUUAUUGUUAUAAAAUCAAGCUCAUAAAAAUAUAAUUAUAAAGAGAAGAAGACUAGAGAAAUAUAUAGAAAAAGAGGAAUUUUCUUCUUAUUCAAGUGUAUAUUAGUCUCAUCUGUAUAUCAUACAACAGUGAAUGAUCAACCCUAUUUAUAGGUUGAGAAAUCACUCCAAAAGUCACCAUAUUAAGUAUCAUAAUAAAUAGAUACAUUCUUAUCCAAAAAGGUUCACGAAACCUAGUGAAUAUGGAUGGUUGUUCAUGUACUUACUUUAUGGAUUAUCCACUUAUUCAAUGGAUUUAUAACACUCCCCCUUGGAUGUCCAUAGAUAUUGUGCCUCGUUAAAAUCUUACUAGGAAAAACUCUGUGGGAAAAAAUUCUAGUGAAGGAAAAAGUGUACACAUAUCUUUUGAUAUACACUAUUUGUUGCCUCAUUAAAAACCUUGCCAAGAAAACCCAGUGAGAAAAAACCUCGGUCAAGGGAAAAAGAGUGCAAUGCGUAUUAUACUCCCCCUGAUUAAAACAUCACUUAAUUUCUUGGGAUGAUGUCUCCAAUCUUCGUACAUUGUGGUUGAUAUAUUCAUUUUCAAAUAAAAAUCACACAUUUUCUAAAUAUGGUGUGUCAUUUAUCUCAACCAGACGCACUUUCGACUUGGUUCAUGGAGGGAUUUUAUUUCUGCAUAACAACAUUUGCUUCAUUGAUCGCCAUGAUAUUAUUGUGCCUUCACAUGCAAACACAUAGCGUGCUUGAGAUAGAGCUUUAUGCGGAUCAAAUAAAUAUUCUGCAUCUGUUUAACCAAUCAAUUUGUCUUGGAUUCCUCGGAAUAGAAUAAACCGAUAACUAUGGUCCUUCAAGGAUAUUCAAUCAUUUGCUCAACACCAUUUCAAUGUCCUUUUAUCUGGGAGAAACUAAAUCUUGCCAGUAAAUUUACUGCAAAACAAAUUUCUGGUAAUAUUGUUAGCAAAAUGCACUAGUACCUGAUUGAACAAAGAUAUGGAGUUUCAUCAUCAAGAAGCAUUUCACUUGGCCAAUCAUUUAUCUGUCCCACUCUAUGAUAGAUUUGAAUUCAAGAUCCUCGUCACAAUUUAUAUCAUUGAGUUCUACCUUAUAUCAAAGACACUGUCGAUGGUUAUUUGAUAUCGAUUCCAACAAGACAUAACUUAUCGAGACCUCUUCAUUUUUCUUCAUUUUUCAGAUACCUGAACCUUUUCCAAGGUUUUAUGAAGUGUUAUGUCAAUGUGCUCUUUUAUAGCACUUGCCUCAUUAUCAUGACCAUAUUGAUAAUUUGCUACUUCCUUAUUCAAGGAAUUUUAUAUUUGGAACGGAUUGGUCUAUUACACUUCUGGCGUAUCAUAGACUCUGUCUUUCAAGGACUUCACAUUGGAGCAUUUGCAGCUGAAUUAUUUCAUAGGGUCAGUACAUUCAUCUGGCAAUUGAUUUUCAAAGUUAUGCAAAUGAAUUAUCCUUUGAACUAUAUUUAGCGAGGAUCUAGAUAAUUCAUAAUAAACCUGACACAUAAUUUUCAGUUGUCAGUCAUCUCUCCCCAUAAUGGUAGCAAAUCUAACAUUCAUCCCAACCUUAUUUGGGAAUUCAUCUUUGUGCGUGGUAGAGCAAUUAGAUCAUAACCACACAUUUAACCUUUUAGAUGAAAAUUAUUUGGUUCCUGACCCUGAACCAAUUUUAAUGGGGAAACCUUGUUUGGCUUGAUGCAUACAUGUGUUGAUACAUGUUAAUUAUCUCAUACCAAAUCUUAUUUGGGAGUUUUGUUCUCAUAACCAUGAUUUAGAUAUAAUUGGAGGCAUACAAUUUCUACUAAAUCAACCAGCAUUAUCAAUAUAAUUUCAUAGUUUGAAACUGUGCUCUUAAUUUAACAAUUCGAGCAAACAACCUUACAAACACCAAUUUGUAAGUUGACGAUAAAACACAUGUGACCAUAGCAUAGAUGCAUCUAUCAUAUAGUUGCAGAUGAUCCACAUGGAAGGUGAAUGGAACCAUAUUCACCUUUUUAUAUGUUCCAAAAAUUUCAGGGGAUUACAAUCCCAACCUUAGCUAGUAUAAUGAAAACAAACAAUACAAGAGAAUACUUGAAGAAUCUUUUAUUUCUUCAUCACAUAAGCCACACAAAUUCUCAAUUACAUUUGCAUCACAUUUAAAUCAGAAUGGUCAACUGAUCAUGCCAACUGAUCUUUAUUUCAGUACACUUAUAGUUUACUUUUGCAUGUGAUUCCACCAGCAUGCCCAUGUUUGUGUGCAACAAACACGAGGAAAAAAUGGGUAAUAUUUAUAACCCUCUUCGAUUGUAGUAAUUUAAAGAUAUUAAAUCUUUUCAUAAUUUAUAAUCUCAAUAUUUCUUUUCAAUCCAUCCGAAACUUAAAAAGUUUCUUUUGAGACUUACUACAACCCAAUAUUAUUCCUUUGAUAAUAGUUAACUCCUUAGAGCUUGCAAUUUAAUUUUGUGUACUAUCACAUAUUCUUUGACACCAUCCCCAUGGUGAGCAUCUCCUUCAAGGAGGAGAUUAUAUUAUCAUUGUCAUGGUCAAAAUCAUUACGAGCAAGACAUGUUUCUUGCUUUACUUUUGUUGUACUAUAGGUACACAACCAAUGACAAAUUUUUAUUGCCACACAAUAAUGACUACAACCCUUAUAGGGAAGAACUAUUUCUUUCUUUUGCCUUUUCGAUAGUUUACAAUAAACAUACCAUAGUGACGUAUAAACAUACAAUACCAUUAACUAUUUUUGGCAAAUAAAAUUUAUUUCCUCUUAAACCUCCCGUAGAGGUGAAUUUUGGUAUAUAUAAUUUUUUCUCAAACCUCCCAUAGAGGUGAGUUGUGGCAUAUAUUCAACCCAUAAUGAUCUUAUCACAUCUUGACCCAUUCUCUUAUAGAAUGGUCGAGCAUUCACGAUACUCAUCACAAGUCACAUUCUCUUCAAGGAAUGGACUAAUCAUUUAUAUUUUACUUCAUAAAUUUGCAUUAUAAGUAUAUUGUCAUGAUUUUAAAAUUCAUCAUAUUUUCAUGAUACACCUCACAUCACUUUGAAAGAUCAAGUGUAUCAUCACUUUAUAUUCUUGUCUUUUGAUGGAGAAUUUAUAAACUUGUCUAAUUAUUGGGUCGACAACAUUCACAAGUCCAAUGUCCUUUCAUACCAUUUUGAUAGUGAAAACUGCCUUCACAUUUGGAAGGACUAUUUGGAAAACCCAUAGUGUUCUUCUUUUUAUAUUUACCACAAUGAUGACUAUUAUAAUUCCGUCCCUUCAUGCCCUUUUUCAUAUCGUUAAUCAUUUGUCAUAUUUCAAACUAAUUAUUUACUGCUACCACAUUCAUACAAUAUAAUGGAGCAAGUCAACAUCAUAUUUUAAAGUUAUCAUAUGUUGCUACCACAUUCUUUUCAAGGAAUGGAGCAAAUUCAAUGGGACAAAUUUCAAGGCUUUUCAUCAAAAAUAUAUUAUUUUUCUUAGUCAUUAUUUUAUCAUUGCUAUGGUGCAUUGGCUCAAACUCAAUGUCUUACCCAUAUAAGGCGUGUUACGCCAUAAUUUUAUAGGACUUGAACCCAAUCAUGGUGCAUCAAAACUCAAAUUGAUGUCUUACCCUUUUGGUGCGAUAGAACUUGAAUCUAUCGUCUUAUCCUCAAAUAUUUUUCAUUAUGGUGCAUCUAGACUUUAACCUGAUGUCUUACCCUUUUGGUGCGAUGAAACUUGAAUCCACCGUCCUACCCUUAACCAACGGUAUAAUAGACCGAAGUACAACAUGACUUACCCUUUGAGUCUUUCAAAACAAUCAAAAUAAUAUUCAAACUCAUGCUACUAAAAUUUUAUACCUUCUUCCAUUUAAGAAGUUUUAUAUAGCAUGUCAUAUUCAACCAAUAGUUGUAUAUGCCUUUGGUUCCUGAUAGUUGUUAGUGAUUGAAUACUAUUGUAUUCUAAAUCAUAAAAAUAUUUUAGAAAAUACAUACCUGAUUUUAUGCAUAUAAUACCUUGAUUCUCAUAACGAGAUCAACCAAAAUAUGAGUUAAAGAAAAACUUAAACUCAAUUUUAAUUGGAUAAAGUUUCGUGAUGAUAACGUGUUAUAAAAUCAAGCUCAUAAGAAUAUAAUUAUAAAGAGAAAAAGACUAGAGAAGUAUAUAGAAGAAGAGAAAUUUUCUUCUUAUUCAAGUGUAUAUUAGUCUCAUCUGUAUAUCAUACAACAGUGAAUGAUCAACUCUAUUUACUGGUUGAGAAAUCACUCCAAAGUCACCAUAUUAAGUAUCAUAAUAAAUAGAUACAUUCUUAUCCAAAAAGGUUCAUGAAACCUAGUGAAUAUGAAUUGUUGUUCAUGUACUUACUUUAUGGACCAUUCAAUCAUUCAAUGGAUUUAUAAUAAUUAUGGUUAAGUUUCAAUUAUUUUCCCAUCAAUCUAAGAAGUUAUGACAUAAAAUAUGUGUCUUAAAAUUACUGAUGGUAUUGAAGAUACUGAUGUUGCUGCUACCCUGACUGAUAUUGUUUAAGUCAUUUUGCCGGAGGCUUAUGAUAAAAAAAAUUACAGGUAUGUAAUAGUCAUGGUUACAAGUUCAACGCAAAUAAUAAAACCUUCAUGAAAAUACACCUCAAUGCAAAAGAAUAUUUAAAAGAAAUGAUAAUUUCACUAAGUAAAAAAUAAGUUUGGCUAAAAUGGAUGAGAUUAUUAUUGCAGUCAUUUCAGAAAUAAUUGUUAUGACCAAUGUAAGAACGUGGGUGAUAAACUGUGGUGCUACUAGACACAAUUGUAUAAAUAAAAAUGAUUUUGUCACAUACACCCAAGUUGAGAAAGGAGAAGAUUUAUCUUGGUAACUCAAUGACAACUAAAAUUCUUGGAAAAAAAAGUUCUUCUCAAACUUACAUCUGGUAAAAUUUUGGCAUUGAGUGAUGUACUGCAUGUUCCUAAUAUCUGAAUUAAUUUGAUUUCUGUGGGAUUAUUAGGAAAAUGUGAAAUAAAAGUUUCUUUUGAAGGUGAUGAGAUCAUAUUGACUAUAUUAAUAUUUUUAUGGGCAAUGAAUUUUGUAACUAUGAUUUAUUUGUGCUUAAUAUUUAUGAUAAUUUCAGUAAAAUUGUAUCUAUUUCUGCUUAUAUUAUUAAGCCCAUUUCAUUAUGGCAUUCUAGAUUGGGACAUGUUGAUGUCUCAUCUAUAAAGAAUAUGUAAUCUCUUGAUUUAAUACAUGAUUUUGAUUUAAAUAAUUGUGAUAAAUGUGAAAUAUGUGUUGAAACUAAAAUUACUAAAAAGUCGUAUUUUUCAGUAAGUAGAGAAACUGAAUUAUUAUCUUUCAUCCACACUGAUUCGGGUGAUUUGAAACAAAUUAUGAUUAUAGGUGAGAAAAGAUAUUAUGUGACUUUUAUUGAUGAUUUAUCAGAUUUACUAAGUUAUAUUUGCUUAGAAAUAAAGAUGAUGAAUUUGAUGUUUUUAUUGCUUAUAAAUUUGAGAUUGAAAAUCAACUUAGUACAAAAAUCAAGAGAAUAAGAUCUGAUAGAGGUAGAGAAUAUAUAUCUUUAAAUGUUUUAUGUGAAAAAGAAUAAAUUAUUCAUGAAAUAAUCCCGCCUUGUUCACUCAAGUCUAAUGGAGUAACUGAAAAGAAAAAGGGAAAAUAGCCAAGUACCCCCUCGACCUAUGUCCGAAAUCCCAGAGACACACUUAUACUAUACUAAGGUCGUAUUACCCCCCCUGAACUUAUUUUAUAUGUAAUUUUCUACCCCUUUUUAGCCUACGUGGCACUAGUUCAAAAAAAAAAGUCAACUGUCGUUGGGCCCACAAGAUAGUGCCACGUAAGCUAAAAAGGGGUAAAAAAUUAUUAAUAAAAUAAGUUCAGGGGGUAAUAGGACCUUAUUAUAGUAUAAGUGUGUCUCUGAGAUUUCGGGCAUAGGUUGAGGGGGUACUUGGGCAUUAUCCCAAAGAAAAAAAGAAAAACAAAACUUUGAAAGCAAUGAUACAUUUCAUGAUAAUUAAUUCUAAUGCUCUUGGAUAAUUAUGGGGUGAAGCUAUAUUCUCUGCAUGUCAAUUACAGAAUAUAAUUCCUCAUAAAAGAACUGAUAGAACUCCUUGUGAAUUGUGGAAAGGUUACAGACCUAAUUUGAAAUAUUUAAAAGUGUGAAAGUGCCUUAUUAAAGUUCUGUUGCCUGAACCUUAGAAGAGAAAAGAGGUUCUAAAACUGUUGAUUGCAUGCAUAUUGGAUAUACUGAAAAUUUUGUUGCAUAUAGAUUUCUUGCGUUGAAAAGUGAUGUACUUGAUUGAAAUACUAUUAUUGAGAGAACAGAUGCUGGAUUUUUUGAACAUUUUCACUGUAUAAUAAAACUUCUCAUGCACAUGUUAAAAGAAAUAAUGAGAAUUCCUCUAAUAUUGAGGAACUGCGAAGGAGCAAAAGCUAGAAAAUAAAAAAAAUUUUUCUUAUGGAAAUAAUUUCCGAACUUUUCUUGCUGACAAUGAACCCUUAAAUUAUUUUGAAGUUAUAUCUUCUUCGAAGGCAAUAAAAAUGAAAAUCAAUUUAAUUAUGAAAAAAGAUAUAGAUUUUAACUGACUUACCUCCUGAUGCAAAGCCUAUUGACUGUAAAUUAAUUUUCAAAAAAAACUUAAUCUUGAUGGAUCUAAAUAAAUAUAAAUCUAGGUUAGUAUCAAAAGAUUUUUCUCAAAAACAAAAUAUUGAUUAAGAAAAACCUACUUUCAAAAACGACGAUAUUAUUUACUAUUAAUAAUAUAAUACAUUGACAAUAGCUAUAAAUUUAAACCUAAAGCUUGAACCCGAGCUCUGAGCUGAAAUACUUUGGAUCACCACUAGCAUCCUGAAAAUUAGGAGAGAAAACCAUGUGUAGAGAUGUUAUUAAGUUAAAAAAAUAUUGCAUCCCUCUUCUUGUCCCUACAUUGUGGAUAUGCUUCACAAAGCUUGACAAAUAAGUGAGAAAAUCAUCAGCCAACUUGACAACUCCCAGAUCCAUGAAGACUUAGAUUCCCAUCAGAGUUAUGCAACAAAGAAAAAAGGACCUCUUAUGAACAAUAGGCACAACUCUCAAUAGUAGGAGUUCUGCAUUCCAUGUUAAGAAAGAAAAAGGACUAUAACCACUACUUCACUACCUAUUGCAUCAGCUUAUUUUCAGCUACUUCAUGGUACCCAUUCAUAUGUAUAGUCGAAAAGAAGUUGUUCUAACAAUUCUAUAAGCCAUGUUUGCUAUGGUAACAAACCACACAUGUGUAUCGUCUCAAGAACAAGUCAAUGUAAGAAAUACAAAGCUUCACCCAAAACGAAUAGAAUAUAAAUUAAUAAAACAACACAAUUAUAUUGUCUUGAACUUAAACAAACAAUCUUUCUGAAUAUUAUAACAAAGGUCACAAUUGUUUUUUCUCCUUUUUACGCAACAGUAGAAUAGAUGACCCACUUUCAAUUCCUAAUUUUACUAGUAAUAAUGUCCAACCAUUGACAAAAGCUAUCAAUGUAAAGCUAAAGCUUGAAUGUAGAUAUUUCACAUGUACUAUAUGUCCAAACCUUCCUUCGCCUACAUGAAAGUAGAAGAGAGAUAGUAACUUGCAAAUCCUGAAACUUAGAUUGCUCAAUAUAAAGUAAAAAAGGAACGUCUCAUUACCCUUGACCUAACGAUCGGGAAAUCCAAAGAGUUAUGUAGGCGACUUGAAAAUAUUCGUUCUCGACAUUCUUGAAUGAAAGAAUAAUAUAGUACAUGACGUGUUUGAUUCUAUGUCCAUUAACCUUGAGAAUCUCAUUAUCCACAUAAGAAGUGGCCUAAAGAAUACACAAUCAACUUUCUAUAGAUGAAAACUAGAAAGACAAUGUGUUAAAUAAUGACAAAAAGUUCACAUCGGUGAUUAAUAAGAUGGGUGAAUUCCUUAUAAGUCUUGGACAAUCCUCCUCUCUUUGAGCUAAUUUUUGGGACGUGAGUUAAGCCUAAGAAUUAAUUCAACAUGGUAUCAGAGCAUGACCCGUCUCACCCGAUGUUGGGAUCUCCGAAAUAAAAAAUUACCCACGCACCAAAUGCUAAGCACUGGGCAUGAGGUGUGAUGUUAAAGAUUGACAAAAGUCCCACAUCGAUGGUUAACUUGAGAAAUCUCUGAGUUAUGUGUAAGACCUAAUUCAACACAAUGUGGCUAGAGCAUACCAAUUUUUCAAUGUCCGUCUAGCAAAACCAACAGAAUAGGAAAUUUCGAAAUCCAACACUAAAAAUUAUUUUCGGAAAAUAUUUUCUACUCACCAACCAAUAAGAUGAAAAAAAGAGAUUCCAAAAUCUACUUAUUUUCAAGGAAAACAUUUUCCAUGCAAAACAUUUUCCUUGAUACCAAACACACUCUUAGUAACUUGCAAAUGUUGAAACUUAGUCAUUAAUCAAUAUAAAGUAAAAAGGAAUGUCUCUUAUGUACCCUUGUCCUAACGAUUGGGAAAUCCAAAAGAGUUAUGAAGGCGAUCCACCACCUUUUAACUUUAAAAUAUUCGUUGUCGCCAUUGUGUGUUUGAUGUUAUGUCUAUUAACCACAUAUGAAGUGUGUUAUUUGUAGUUUUGAUGAUGUAACAAACUCAGGGACCUUGUGAAGGUACCCGGUUCUCAACUUGAACAGUUCGUUGACUGCCAGCUGGAGAAGGUACAAAAAGUUGGUGCACAGUUCCCAACUGCGUCAGAAAAGUCAGACCUUUCCAACCAAUGACAUGAGUUUAAGGAAAGGGACUUGUCUAUACAAUGUCAUAUUUCUAAACAUGGCUCUUUAGUUUUUGCAACUUGAAAAAAGGUACAUUCAAGAACUCUUGCAAUCGCUAAAGAAAAUCAAAGAGAAGAAUCAUUCAAGAACAACCUAAACUCAGGCGUAUAUUGUAUAGUUGUUUGAGAAUAUAUUCUUUCGGUCUUACAUUGUAAACUGAUCCUAAAUCAAUAAAGGAAUCAGUGUGGUUUGUGUUGAAAUUCUAAGUUGUCUAGAGUGAUAGCUUAGUGGGUAGAAUAACUUCUACUUAGUCUCAUCAAGCAAUAGAGUUAUUGCUUGUUGGUGAGAUUAAAAACUUUUUUCUCACAUUUGUGUAACCGGUGUUACUUUUCCUUGCAAAGAUUAGUGAAACGGUUGUGAAAAUCCUGUGAGACAGGUCGUGGUUUUACUUCCUUGAGAAAGGAGGUUUCCACGUAAAACUCCUCUGUUGUUAAACUGCAUUUACUUUCUGUUAUAUCUUUAUUUGUGUGUCAAGAAACCUGGUCCAUUGACUGAUAGUGGACGCACAUAUUCUUACAAAGUGUCGUAAAAGAAUACACAAUAUAAUGAGCUUUCUAUAGAUGAAAACUAGAAAUACAAUGUGACUAGAGCAUACUUUUUUUCAUUGUAUGCUGAAUUUCCGUCUAGAAAAAUCCUUCAUCUUUUCCAUGAAUUCAGGAUGUUGUAAGUAGCCUUGCGUAGGAAAUAUGGAAGUCAUUGGAGCCGAACCAGGAUAAUCUUUGAUGUCAAAUCCCUAUUAGAGACAAACAUAAAUCGAGUCCUCAAUCUUAACAAUCAGCAUAGCAGAAGAGGAACUUUCGAAAUCCAAUCCAAAUCACUUUACCAUUCAAAUCAUAUGACGCUAGACAUCCACACAACAAAAAUUAAAAUACCAAAUCUAUUGCUGUUUUUGCGAUAACACUAAUUUUAUGUAUUCUAGUAUAUCCGAUGGUAAUUAUCGUAACUGGACUAACCCUAAACAAUAAUAAUAGUAUAAUAGUAUAGUAGAGAAGAGGGAGAAUUGAGAAAUUGGUACCUCCUUGUCAUGGAUUUGUUCAAAAUAUGUUAUCCUGCAAUCUUUAUCAGCGGUUAUAGCACCACUAGAGUAAGGGAGAUAUAUAUAGACCCGUUACGGCAUAUCACAUUCUAAAGAAUUAUCUUCCGACUUGCUAGAUUCACAUCUUUUUCUUUCAACAAAUCCAAUUCCUCCUCAUCCGAGUAAACAAAUUUGUUGCCACCUCCGACUGUUACCAAAGGCUCCGGCUACAACGAUUUUUGACGUCAUCUGAUUCUUCGUGCUCCGGAAUGGGACUGCCGGCAUGACUACGGAUUAAUAGUUUAUGCACCAGAAAGAAGCUCUGUUGUAUCUGAUGAAACCUUACCCCAGAACAAGAACCAGGUUCUUGUAAGUUGCUUUUAAGUAAAGACACAAACACUUAUUGAAUUAAAAACCAUCCUCACUCAAGGAAGGAAAAACCUCGUUUUAUUAAUUCAACUAUAAUAUUUUGUGAUUACAACUCAAUAAUAAAAAGUCUUAUCUCUACUACCUCUCUCGAUUGACUCCAAUCGUUCUCACCAAAAGGCCAAACCCACCUUUUGUUACAACUCUCACUAACACUCAACUCUACAAAGAGCCAAACCCACCCUUUGUACAAUAAACUGUAAACUACAAUCAAGAUCAAAACAAGAAAAUAGUUCUACACAUUAAAAACCUUCUCACUCAAGAACGUUUUAAACGUAGCAAACCUAUCGAUCUUGAAGACUUCAGUUUAAUGAAUAAUUCUCACUUUUCUCUCUAUGUGAAGUCGUGGGAUUCUUCAACUGCAUCGUCCUAUUCUUAUAGAGUUUCUUUUGCCCUGUACAAUCCUUAUCAGAUAAGGUAAGGAAGUUAUUGUUAAACAAGGAUUCCCUUUUAAAGUGCAAUCCUUAUUAUGUACAACUUCCUUCCUUAAAUAAUAUAUUUAAGGUUUUCCUUAUUUGUAUGAACUUAUACCUUUAAUAUAUUAUUUUUGGCUUUGACAAAUAACUCUAUUUUCUUGAUUACUUAGCUGACCCAUUUUACUCAAUCUUGGACUUCGAGCUUGGCUUCUUUUGCUGCGUACAUUUGCCACUUAUUCUUUGCGCUUCUUGUCUAUCAUCAAAACAUGAAUUAUCGAUUCUAUCAUAUUCCCCCUUUUUGAUGAAGACAAACAAAUAUUUCUGUGUGAUGCAUGCGCAAAUACUUCCCCUUUUUGACAAAUAAAAAAGAAUCCAACAGCGGCUAAACAAACCCAAUCAACAUCCAUAACAACAAAAUGAGCCCAGCCAGUUGAGCAUAAUAAAAUGUUCUGGCAACAAAACAAAGAGUAACAACACAGAGUUUAAAUAACUAAGAGAACCAGGUUCAAACAAGAUGCUUUUUCAGUGUGAAGGUUGACCAGGCUUUGUUGAAGCAGAAGCCAGCAUAUCCAAAACUCUAUCAACUCUUGUAUUGUUAGCAAGUUGCUGCUGCACCAACUGAUCCUUCAACCUGUGUAUUUCAGCAUUUGAAGUGUCAAAUUCAGCACGUAACUUCUGGUUUUCUAACUCAAGAGUGGCAUACUUUUCUUCAGCUACUUUAAGUUCCCUGAGUAACUGAGCAACAGGACCAGAUGUACGUGGAGACGCAGUUGCAACCUGCUCCGACUCCAUGGGAAUGCCACAAUCAGCAAGGAUGGUUUGAGUGAACAUAUCUGCAUGAGUUAAAAUCCUGCCUUCUCCCAAUGGUACUUCAAAUGCAUCAAACACUCUUGUUACCAGAUUUCUAUAAGCUAACUGAUGAGAACCUACUUUAGGAUCAACAAUUCUAGCAAAAUGUUUGAUAAUCAGUGUGGGCCAGUCAAUGCGUUCUUUGCACUCAACAACAUUCAUAAGUCCCAUGUCUCUUAUGGAGGCAAUGUGACGUUGGUGACCUCUAGGCAGUAUCACCUUAUGAACUAUCUCGAAAAGAAGCUUAUGCAAAGAUCUCAUAAUGCCCUUUAAAACAGUUUGUGCCCUAGAAUUGACUCUACCUUGAGAGAAUUUGGCUGGCAAGCUAGAAUUUUCAUCGAAACCCCAAUUGUACUCAUUAAUUCCCACAGAUGGUAUAUGCAAGAUUUCCCCAAGUUUAGUUGCAUCAAAAACAAUGUCAACCCCCUUUACACUAGACGACACCACAUCUCCUUCUAGGAUUACCAAGUUUGUAUAGAAAUCUACCACUUCCUUUUCAUAAAUCAAAUUGGGUUCAAGGAAUAACUCCUCCCACCCCUGAAACCUUAGUAGUUCACAAACCUGCUUCACUAUAUCCAUUGAGAGUAUAUCAGGGUGAAAAGUUCUACCCCUAAGCACUGUUUUGGUUUGGAAGUACUUUUCUUUCCUACUUUGAGAAAUUUAUCUGCAUUUCUUUUUGCAGAUUUUGAUUGAGUAGUUGCAGAAUGUUUACCCUCAGAUACAUCAUCAGUUUCAAAAUCAAGAUUCAUUGGAGAAACAGAUGAACGAACAAGAGACUUACCUAAUUGUCGAUGCUUCACACUAGAGGUUGCAUCAUCAGUUAGUUUGACCACAUUCGCGCUCCUUUUCACUGACCUGUGUGGAUGAACCUGUAUAACUUCAAUGUGCUUUCUUGGCCGCCUUGGUUUUUUAGGGUGAAGGGUACUCAAAAGAAUAUCACCAUUGAUUGGAGAUGGUGGUGGAUUUUGAGAAGUGGUUUUAUGAGAUGGGAAAGAGGGGGGAUUAUUUGGGACAACGGUUGUGGGAGUUUCUGGGUUUGGUGAUAAUGGGGUUUCUUGGACUGGUGAUAAUGGGUUUUCUUGGACUGCUGGUGGUGGAGAUUCUAUGAUGGGUGGUGGUGGAGAUUUUGCAACUAUAGGUGGAGAUGCUUCUUUAACUGGUGAAGGUGGAGAUGUAGCUUUUGGUGGUGGAGAUGUAGACGGAUCUGAUUUGGGUGUAGAUGGUUUGGUUGGGAGUCGGCUUUCUUCCACUCGAUUAGGCACAUCAUCAACAACUGGGUUCUCUUCCCUCUGAGAAAAUGCACUAUCAGACGAGUUUUCGUCAUUUGAGUAAGCAACAAGUGGAUUAACCAUGGUGAUGGAGGAGAUUUCUUUUUCCUUUUUUUUUUGGAGAAUGAAGAUGAGAAAAAGUUGGUUGCUUGUUUAGAGAGAGUGCUUUAUUGGGAAUGGUUUUGAUGUUGUAUUCGAGGGGUUUGAGUAAUUAUGGGGGAUUAACAUCGAGGAGACGUGUGCUUUGACGAUUGCACCUGCUUUUCAGAGACGUGAGAUAGGAGAGAGAAGAUGGAAUUGUUUCCCCCCCCCCCCCCCCUUCAUUUUUUUUAAAAUUUUUGACAGCUAAGUAUGAAGCAGUUGUAGAACCAACUUGACUUAACCUGGUUCAUAUCUUCUUAGAACUUGGUUAGAUAGAAUUCAAUCUAAAAAGAAAAGCCCUAACUCAAGUCUAUUUUUCUGAAAUGACUCUCUUCCUAGUGCCUUGGUGAAGAUAUCAGCAACUUGAUCCUCAGUUUUGCAGAACUCAAUCACUAUGUUUCCUUUUUCAACAUUAUCACGAAGAAAGUGAUGUCUAACAUCUAUGUGUUUGGUGCAUUUGUGUUGAACUGGGUUUUUGACCAUGUUCAUAACACUUGUGUUAUCACAUAGAAUAGGAAUACAACCUGUUUCUAUACCAAAGUCUUUAAGCUGUUGUUUUAUCCAAAGAAGUUGGGCACAACAUGACGCAACUGCAACAUACUCAGCCUCUGCAGUAGAUAGAGCCACUGAAUUUUGUUUUCUAGUUGCCCAAGAUAUUAAACAUGGUCCUAAAAAGUGUGCCAUCCCAGAGGUGAUUUUUCUAUAAACCAUAUGUCCUUCAUAACCUGCGUCAGCAAAUCCCUUUAGAUCAAAAGAGUCACCAGUUGGAUACCAGAGAACCAGGUUCAUUGUGCCUUUUAAAUAUCUCAAGAUUCUUUUGACAGCUUUUAAAUGUGAUUCCUUGGGACAAGACUGAAACCUUGCACAUAGACCAACACUGAACACUAUAUCAGGUCUACUGGCAGUGAGGUAUAAGAGUGAUUCAAUCAUACGUCUAUAUCUAGUGUCAUUGACUGGUGAACCUGGUUCAUCUUUAUCAAGCUUUGUUGUUGUCCCAAUGGGUGUGUCAUUUGACUUAGCUUCAUUCAUAUCAUACUUCUUCAGUAAUUCCUUGAUGUACUUUUGUUGAUGAAUUGAUGUUCCAACUGGAGUUUGCUUAAUUUGGAGUCCCAAAAAGAAGUUUAACUCUCCCAUCAUACUCAUCUCAAACUCACUAUUCAUUAGUUGAGCAAAUUAUACUCCUAGAGUCAUUGGUUCCUCCAAAUAUGAUAUCAUCUACAUAUAAUUGGACUAUGAACAUAUAUUUACCUCGUUUUCAAAGAAACAGUGUAUUAUCAAUUUUUCCUCUUGUAUAUCUAUGUGUGAGAAGGAAAGUAGACAAUCGAUCAUACCAUGCUCUAGGUGCUUGUUUUAGCCCAUAGAGUGCUUUGUCCAGUUUUAUAUACAUGGUCAGGAUACAUGGUAUUCUCAAAACCUGGGGGUUGUUUUACAUACACCUCUUCUUGUAGGUAACCAUUUAAGAAGGCACUUUUGACGUCCAUUUGGUAGAGUUUGAACUCCAUAUGAGCAGCAUAUGCGACCAAUAUUCUAAUUGCUUCAAUUCUUGCUACUGGUGCAAUGGUUUAAUCAUAGUCUAUACCUUCUUCUUGGUUGUAUCCCUGUACAACUAGCCUAGCUUUGUUGCCCACUAUUUGUCCUUGCUCAUCGAGCUUGUUUCUAAACACCCAGCUAGUUCCUAUUACCGUCCUGUUUUGAGGUUUUGGAACCAGGUUCCACAUUCUGCUUCUUUCAAAUUGGUUGAGUUCUUCUUGCAUAGCACUAAUCCAAUCAGAGUCUAGCAGUGCUUCCUUUAUAUUUUUAGGCUCAAUCAGGGACACAUAGGCAGAGAAUGCGCACAUACUACAUAAUUUGGAUCUUGUAGAUAUGCCUGAGUUAAGAGGAGUAAGAAUGUUUUGCAAGGGGUGAGAGCUUUGAUGUUUCCAACUGUGAGUUGGAAUACUUACUGGUUCUUGAGGUGCAGACGGACCGGUAUCAUUAGUAGACUUAUCUCCUAUUUCAGAUGUUUUAUCAAAGGGUAUGGGUUCUUUUUCCCAUAUUUUUGGUUCUGAUGGCUUGGAGCAGGUUCCCUGAUUUUGUUCAUCCUCUAAAUUUCCUUCAACUUCACUAGUAUGUUCAUUAAAGACAACAUGGACACUUUCUUCUACACAGUUUGUUCUUUUAUUCAGUACCUUAUAGGCCUUGCUUUGUGAUGAGUAGCCCAGGAAAAUUCCUUCAUCACUCUUGGUAUCAAAUUUUCCCAAAUUGUCUUUGUCAUUGUUGUGUAUAAAGCAUACACACCUAAAGGCCCUAAGAUGUGCUAAAUUUGGUUUUCUUUCUUUUAGCAGCUCAUAUGGUGUUUUGUUUAACACUGAUAUGAUCAUACAUCUGUUUAUUAGAUAGCAUCCUGUGUUUACUGCUUCAGCCCAAUAGAAUUUUUGAAGUUUGCUUGAAAUUAACAUUGUUCUUGCAAUAUCUUCCAGUGUUCUAUUUUUCCUCUCACCAACACCAUUUUGUUGUGGUGUUCUAGGUGCUGAGAAGUUAUGCUCAAUCCCAUUUGUAGUACAAAAUUGUAGGAAUUGUGAGUUCUCAAACUCUAGCCCAUGAUCAGAUCUGAUACUGAUUAUUUCUUUGUUGAAUUUCUUCUGAACCAGCUUUGCAAAGAUUUCAAACAUAGUGAAUGUCUCAUCCUUUGUUGCAAGAAACAAUGUCCAAGUGAAUCUUGAAUAGUCAUCAUCUAUUACAAACACAUAUCUUUUUCCACCCCUGCUUUGUACACGCAUUGGUCCACACAAAUCCAUGCGAAGCAGUUCUAGUGGCUUGGUAGUACUUACUGUCAACUUUGGUUUGAAGGAUGACCUAACCUGUUUUCCUUGAAUGCAGGUUCCACAUACUUGGUUGUCCCUGAAACUUUUGGUUGGCAGUCCCCUAACCAGGUCUUUAGAUAUGAGCUUGUUUAUAGUUGUCAUGCUAUUGUGUCCCAUUCUUUUGUGCCAUAGCAUGGAGCAAUCAGAGACUGAACUUAGACAUUUAAGAGUAUCUUCCUUGGAGUCAACAAUCUUGGCUUUGUACACAUUCUUGUGUCUCUUACCUAGUAGAAGCAGGUUCCCAGUCACUGAGUUUGUUACUCUGCAUUCCUUUUCUGUAAAGAGAACAUUGUUUCCUUUAUCACAUAGUUGAGAUACGCUCAAUAGAUUAUGUUGUAGGCCAUUCACAUAAUAUACAUUUUCAACUGCAUGAGUAUCCAUUGAUCCAACCUUUCCAAUUCCCUGAAUUUCCUCACUUUUUCCAUUACCAAAGGCAACGUUUCCUCCUUUGAUGUUAUUGAGUGAGAGGGAGCUUCUUUUAUCUCUAGUCAUGUGUCUGGAACAUGCACUAUCCAAGUAACAUUGUUGCUGCUUUCUCUUCACUGAUCCCUGCAAUUUAAUUUUGGGGAUUAGAUUUUGGUACCCAAAUCCACUUUGAUUUAUGCUUAGGGAAUGGGUGGAUAAGAUUUCUUCUGGCCCAUCUAGGAAGAGAUUUGACUGUAGGAAUUUGUUUUUGCUCAUUGGGUUUCUCAUGAUGAGGUUUUCUCAAAGACUUCAAGUUUUUGUUAUGAGCAGUUUGUUUUCUUUGACAAUCAUGAUUUUUAUGCCCUACUAGCUCACAGUGCAUGCAUAGACAAUCUAUGUUGGGAUUUUUUACUUGAGAGAUAGUUCUAUCAAAACCUAUCCCAUGUUUCUCAGAUGUGCGAUUCUUGUGAAUGUUGUCAAGCAGUAUGGAAGACUUGGUCCAUCUCAUUCCAUUUUCUUCUUCAGUUUUAGUCACAAGAAGCUCUUUGGAGAGUGCUUCAUUCCUUUUAGUUACCAAGUCUAGGUUUUUACUUAGUUCAAUAUUCUUUGAUAAAAGAUGAAGAUUCUAUUUUUCAAGAAUCUUGUUUUCUUCUCUUAGUGAUGCAUAGUCUUCCAUUAUCAAUUCCCUUUUUGAGUAUAUGGUUUUAUAUGCAUCAAUGAGAGUGUAGAAGAGGGAUUCUAGCUCCCUUUUUGAGUAUGAGCUAUAUUGUCUUGUAUGUGAUGAAGACUAACCUUUUCAUUCAUAUCUUCUUCUUCUUUAUCUUCUUCAGAAUCUGAUCCAGCCAUGAGUGCUAGUAUGGUUUCUUGUGAUCUGCAGGUUUCCUUUUCUUCCUUGGUUUCCACUACUACAAGAUCAAGAAAGUCAUAAUCAUCUUCUUGUUCUAGUGCAAGAAGGGACUGGUUUUCUGUCUCAUCACGCUCAGACUCUUCAUCAGAUGAAUUCCCCAUUGUUGCGAAGACCCUUUUCAUUGAAAUAUCUGCCUCUUGAGUUGUCAUUCUUCUGUUUGAAGGGACAAACUUAUCAUUCUUGAUGUCUUUGCCAUUCUCAAAGUUUGUAUUUUUCUGAUCUAAAGCCCAAAGUGGACAAAAUUUGAUGAAGUGAUCUGGGCUCCCACACUUAUGACAAACCUGGUCUUUUUCAGAUUUUUUUUGAGAAGUUUUCUUUUGAAAGGCCUGUCCUCUCUUCAGCAUUCUGGUGAACCUUUUGGUUAUGAGGGCAAUAUUUUCAUCUUCAAAAUCAUCUGAUGUAGUAGCCUUUAGAACCAGGUUCCUUUCCUUCCUUUUUCCUCCAAUUUCCUUUUCUUGGUUUUUCUUGAGUUCAUAUGUGAUGAGAUUACCAAUCAACUCAUCCAUGGCCAGUGAGUCUAGGUCGCGGGCUUCAGUGAUAGCCUCGACUUUGCUUUCCCAAGUUUCAGGAAGGACACUCAAGAGUUUCCUUACCACCUUUCCAUUAGGAACUAUCUCUCCCAAGGAGUACAUCUCAUUUAUGAUGGAGGUGAACCUGGUGUGCAUGUCUUGAAUAGUUUCCCCCUCUGCCAUCCUGAACAACCCAUAUUGCCUGUUUAAGUUAUCAAUUUCAGACUUCUUGACUUGUGUUGUUCCUUCAUGAGCGGUUUGUAGUGUUUUCCAUAUGGCUUUGGCAUCUUGACAAGAUGAGAUUCGAUUGUAUUCAUCUGGUCCUAUGCCACAGAUCAAAAUUUUCUUGGCUUUGGCAUUGUUUUGGAUUGCAAGCUUGUCUUCGGCAUUCCAUUCUUUUCUUUCCCGUGGGAUUUUGGUGAUUCCAUCAGUUGCAGUUUUCAUAGGUAUGGUUGGUCCAUCUAGAAUUACUCCCCAUAGAUUAGGGUUUUCGCCAAUAAGAUGGUCCAUCAUACAAUUUUUUCACCAUCUAUAAUAUUUGCCAUUGAACAGUGGUGUUCGUGUUUGUGAAGCUCCCUCUUGUGGGGUAGGUGGUGCUGCCAUUGAGUCUUUUUAAGGUGUGAAUCUUUUAUCGAAAAGACCUGCUCUGAUACCAAUUGAAGAAACCUUACCCCGGAACACGAACCAGGUUCUUGUAAGUUGCUUUUAAUAAAGACACAAACACUUAUUGAAUUAAAAACCUUCCUCACUCAAGGAAGGAAAAACCUCAUUUUAUUAAUUCAACUAUAAGAUUUUGUGAUUACAACUCAAUAAUCAAAAGUCUUAUCUUUAUUACCUCUCUCGAUUGACUUCUAUCAAUCUCACCAAAAGGCCAAACCCAUCUUUUGUAACAACUCUCACUAACACUCAACCCUACAAAGAGCCAAACCCACCCUUUGUACAAUAAACUGUAAAUUACAAUCAAGAACAAAACAAGAAAAUAGUUCUACACGUUAAAAACCUUCUCACUCAAGAACGUUUUAAACGUAGCAAACCUAUCGAUCUUGAAGACUUCAGUUUGAUGAAUAAUUCUCACUUUUCUCUCUAUGUGAAGUCGUGGGAUUCUUCAUCUGCAUCGUCCUCUUCUUAUAGAGUUUCUUUUGCCUUGUACAAUCCUUAUCAGAUAAGGUAAGGAAGUUAUUGUUAAACAAGGAUUCCCUUUUAAAGUGCAAUCCUUAUUAUAUACAACUUCCUUCCUUAAUAAUAUAUUUAAGGUUUUUCUUAUUUGUAUCAACUUAUACCUUUAAUAUAUUAUUUUUGGCUUUGACAAAUAACUCUAUUUUCUUGAUUACUUGGCUGACCCAUUUUACUCAAUCUUGGACUUCGAGCUUGGCUUCUUUUGAUGCGUACAUUUGCUACUUAUUCUCUGCGCUUCUUGUCUAUCAUCAAAACAUGAAUUAUCGAUUCUAUCAUAUUCUAUCAGUAUCUAUUGAGAGAAUCAAUUUAAAAUCAAAUAACCCCAAAUUAUAUACUCUCUUCAUUUUACAAAAAAUGAUUUAAUUUGAUUUGACACGGAGUUUAAAAAAAUAAAGAAGAAUUUUGAUUAUGUGAUCCUAAAUUAAAGUUAUGUCAAAUGUACGAAAUUGCCCUUUAAUUUUGUAGUCUUAAACAUGCCACGUGCAAAGUUAUUACCAUAAAAAAAGAUCAUUCUUUUUUGAACAGACUAAAAAAAUAUGAGAUUAUAUAUAUAUAUAUAUAUAUAUAUAUAUAUAUAUAUAUUACUUUACUUGUUAAUUCUCUCUUAUUUAUGAAUGACACUUAUGGUGUACCAAUACGACAUAAAAGAGUUGUACCAAAAGUAAUCUAAAUUGUAACCCUCUUAUACUUAUUUAGAAUAUGUAGAAAAUAAGAAAUGACACUUAUGGUGUACCAAUAAAGCAUAAAAGAGUUGUACCAAAAGCAAUCUACAUACAUAGUAAGCCUUAUAAGCCAACAAGGGAAAGUACUAAACAACUUUAAAAAGUUUUACCAAGAGAAUUAAAAAUUGUACUAUAUCACUGAGCUCUAUUACUGAUAAAUAAACACGUGUACAAUACAUGCUUCAUACGAAAUGCUAUUUUGAUUCUUUGUCGUUUUCAAGUUUAAUUAGUUUUUUCAUUCCACAUAUUCUCACUUUUGGUGGAGAAGGAGAAGAACAGACUUUCAUAUGGAGGUAUGUCAUUUUCCGAGAGUAAGAGCAAGUUGAUGGAAAAUUAGAGGAGAGUGAAUACGAGUUUCGAGCUGGUGCGUCAAUUUGGUAAUGAAAUUUUAUAUUUGGCCAUGGCUAUCAAAAUUGGAGGUAAUUUUUUCAUUCUAAUCAUAAUUUUUUGGAUUUCCCUUCCACUUUUUGGGUUUAAUUAUUUUAUUUUUCUGAGUUGUUGAUGUUGUCUUUUACUUCGAAUGUGUUUUUGACGUGGAAUUUGAAAAAGUUACAGGUUCUCCAUCACUAUAAAUUGAGUGCAACUAAGACUGAAAGAGUGUGAAGUAUAAACUCACCAAAAACCUUGUGAGCUUUUGGUGCUCUUUCUUUACCUGAUUUUGCACAUGCAUGUACUAAUUCACCAUUUUGUUUCGAUUUCAUAGGUGUAUAUGGUAUUAGGAAGAAUUCAAUGAAAAUACGGUUAAGACUAUGAAUAAUAUCCCUAAAGGUUAGUAUUACAUGUCAGCCGAUAGACACUUUUGGUGAUUUUUCUGCCCUUUUUUUCUUCGUAAUAUUGUGUCAUUGUUAAGUUUUUGUAUUUCUCACCUUUGAGAUUCGUUAUUUUUUUCUGUUAUAUAUUCUCGGCUUAUUAUUAAUUAAAUAAUUCUUGAUUAGAAUCUAUUUGGUUCAUUUGUAUUCUCGAUUAGUCGAGUUGAAUUCGAUCAAUAUGCAUUUCUCAAUAUUAAUAUACAAAUUUUGAGAUGCAACACAAAUAUUUUGCAUUCUCGCAAGUCACAGGGAGAAAAAGUAUCAACUUGAGGAGAAUCUGAUGCACAGUUCAAACAUUGAUCCUAAUUGAGAAAGAAAAGAAGUUGUAUCACAAACAUCCAAUCAAAAAAUGAUGUAGACUUCGUAGCUGAAUAUUAAUUAGGUAUCGACAUUACAAAACAUCUAUUUCAAUGCUUCUUUCGAUAAAGUAAUAGAUUUUAUAGAAAGAACAUCAAGAAGAUGCAAUUACACCAAUAUUGAACAUCUAUUGCAAUUUUUGAACAACUAUUAACUGGAUUGCAGCUAUAGGGGUGUAAAUGUGCACUUUUACGACAGAGCUUGUUGAGCAUAUGUUUGUGAGUGUGUCUUGACACACUUGGUGUGAUGAGGGCACAAAUACAUGCUUUGAAGUUAUAAACACCAACAAGUACAACUAUUUGAGCUAAUAUUCGUAAAAGCUUUUAUGUGUGGACAUGUUAAAGGAGAAACCUGAUAAAAUUUUAUACCAAAUUGUUUUCCCUUAAUUUUUAUCAGUAAAUGAGGCUAAGCUUUGCCACUAAAAGCUUAGUUAAAUGAAUAGUGAGAUAGUCUUUUGUAGUUUUACUUUACAUGAACGUAGAUAGUUAUUUGUCUUUGAUAAGCAUUUUUACUUUGUAAUAGUAAAACAAAUUGAUGCCAAAAGCAUAGCUACUAAAUAAUUUUAUAUAGAACAAAUUGAUGCCCAAAGCAUGACUACCGUUCCAAACUAUUUCAUACAUCUAAAAUAAGUUUUUUGACACACACAACUUGAUUUUUAAAAUUUUUUGAUUCUUAUACUCUCUUAUGUGUUGAAGAAGAUGUUUGACAAUAAAAGACAACAUUUAGAUAGAAAGAAGAUGAGUUUUAGGAGAGGAAUUUAUCACAUAUACAAACCCUCCAAAUAUAUAUUUUGCAAUUUUACUUGAUAUUGGAGUAGAAAUAUUCACUUCAGCUCUUUCUAACAUUUGAAUUGUUAAUUUGAAUAUUUGUAGACAAGUUCUCACUAGGUUUGAGCUGUUGGACAAAAUGAUAAUCACACUCAUGAUAAUGUCCAAAGUAUAUAGCAAUAGGAAGAGAGUAACAACGACAUCAAAUAUUAAAAUGGGUAAAUAUGAUACCCGUAUAAGUAAUACAAUAAUAUUGAUGAAAAACUUGGUAGUGUCAAAAGAUUACUACUCAACACUCUUUUAUUUCUUACAAUUCACAAUAAUAUUAUUUGCACACUAUUUUCUCGCAAAUUAAGAAAUAGUUUGUGGAUUACUCUCUCUACACUCAAUUGCUUCUCUAUUUUGUUGUGUCUUCAAGUGUUCAAUUGCUACUCUACUUAUAGAGUUUUUUAAACACUUGUUUACAUCAUUAAUGACAUAAUAUGGUAGACAGUUUAAAAAAAAAAUUGACUGCCUAACUCUAUCAACUUAUAUACCAAACAUUCACUACCUACUUCCACAAAUUUGGAUUUCAACUUUCACAUUGGUGGCUAACAAUUUUCACAUUCGUGGAUUGUAAUUUCAACAAGUAUGACUGUCAAAUUAAUUGUUGCCAAGAUUUUUUUCCACAAAUCUCUCAAUUUUGAUUUUUCUUCUUUACUCCAAGGCUUGAUCUCAAUCUCCAAAAAUCUUCAAACUUGAGAGGCUUUGUAAAGAUAUCUGCAACUUGAUCAUGACAUUUCACAUACUUGAGCUCUUCCUCUUUCUUGGCAAUGCAUUCUUGGAUAAAGUGAUACCUUGUGUCUAUGUGCUUGAUUCGAUCAUGAUACAUCGGAUUGUUUGCUAGUGCUUGCGCAUAUUUGUUAUCAACACAAAUCAUUGUGGCUUUAAUUUGUGACAAAUUGAGAUCCUUCAACAAUCUUCUCAACCAAAUAGCAUGACACGUACAUGAUGUGGCUGCCACAUAUUCAACUUCACAAGUCAAGAGAGUAACAAUUUGAUUUGUUUCUUUGAACUCAAAUAAAUAACACAAUCACCCAAAAAAAACACAAAACCUGAUGUGUUUUUUCUAUCAUCAACAUCUCCCACAUAAUCACUAUCACAAUAUCCCACAAGAUUAAAAUCAUCAGAAGAAGAAUAAAAUAGCCCAAGGUCGAUUGUACCUUUUAGGUAGCGAAGAAUUCUUUUAGUAACCUUCAAGUAAGUGGAGGUAGGAGAUUCCAUGAAGCGACUUACUGUUGCGAAAACGUGGACAACACCAAAAAUAUAUAUUACUAUAAUAAGUAAUUUUACACUGUAUAGUCACAAAUACAAUACUCAAAGUGAUUACUACACAAUCAAAAGAAACAACAAUCUUUUGGUAUCCACCUUACUAAAAUAUCGCUCACACUCUAUUUUUCUUCACAGACUAUUUUUCUUGUGUAUAUGGAAUACCUCACUUUGCUCUCAAAAUGAAUUUUCUCUCUAAUUUGGUGUAUACUAGAAAUGAUCAAGAAUGCUCUAUUAUAAAAGGAUAAAACCAUGUCUAUGUCACUAAUGACAUAUGUAAAUAUAGCAAUGUCAAAAAUAGUUGCAAAUCUUACCAAUUUGCCAACUACCAAAUCUUUUAUUUUUAACUCUAAUUACUAUUCCUUUUUAACAAUUAUUUGUAUCAAUUGAAUAGCAAAAGUUGACCAAAAAGUGGGAUGGACUCAACAAAUCUCCCCAUCCAGUCCCAUUCGCUCGAAGAAGGUAUCUUCAUCUUCUUUAGAAAGAGCUCAUACCUACAUGCUCUUUGCAUAACUCGAACUUGUCUUUCAAUAUCAUCUUGGUCAGUAUAUCUGCAAAAUUUUCACUUAUGUGGAUCUUUUUUACGUGAAAUAAUUCACUCUCCAUUUCCUCACGAAUCUAAUGAUAUCUGAAGUCGAUGUUUUUUGUUGUUAAAUGAUACAUGGAGUUCUUACUCAAGUCUAUUGCACUCUGGCUAUCACAAUCGACAAUAUACUCCAUCUGAUUCAAACCAAGCUCUUGAAGAAAUCGCUUUAGCCAUAUCAUCUCCUUGCCGGCUUCAGUAUCCACAAUAUACUCAGCUUCAGUUGUAGAUAGUGCAACACACUUCUACAACUUCGACUGCCAUGAUACAGAUCCCCCUGAAAAAGUAAACAAAUAUACAUUAGUGACUUUUAUGUUAUCAAGGUCACCUGCCAUAUCAGAAUCUGUAUAGCCUUUCAAGAUUGGAUUUGAUGCUUCAAAACACAAAUAUUCAUCGGAGAUUCCUCUAAGAUACCUGAGUAUCCACUUCACAUCUUCCCAAUGCUCUUUUCCCAAAUUUUUGAGAAAUCUGCUGACAACCCCAAAUGCAUGAGCAAUAUCAGGUCUAGUGCACACCAUUGCAUACAUUAGACUUACAAUGGUGGAGGAAUGUGAAACUUUGGCCAUGUUCACUUUUUCCUCCUAGCUGUAGUACAUAUGUUCUUGCUCAGCUUCAUCUGACCAACAAGAGGUGUACUAACAGACUUAACAUUCUUCAUAUGAAGCGCUCCAGUACACGUUUAAUGUACUUCUUCUAGGAUAAAUAAAUCUUCCUUUAAUCUCUGAGACGAGUAAUUCUCAUGCCCAAAAUUGCUUGGCAUGGCCCAAUUCUUUCAUAACAAAAGACUUAUGCAACUCUUUCUUCAUCUCGUCAAUCUUGAAAGUAUUCUUGCCCACAAUCAACAUAUCAUCCACAUACAACAAGAGGAUGAUAAAAUCAUCAGAAAAUUUUUGUUCAAAUACGCAAUGAUCUGAGGAAUUCUUCUUAUAGACUUGCUCCCCAUAACAAAUUCAAACUUCUUGUACCACUAUCUAGGAGCUUGCUUUAAGCCAUAUAGACUCUUUUUGAGUUUUCACCUAAAAUUUUCUUUACCUUCUACUUUGAAGCCCUCAUGUUGUUCCAUAUAAAUAUCUUCUUCUAGGUCACCGUGAAGGAAAACCGUCUUCACAUUCACUUGUUCAAUCUCUAAAUUAAAACUAGCAGCCAAACCUAGAACUGUGCGAAUCAGGUACAUUUUCACAACAAGAGAAAAUAUUUCGUCAAAGUCAAUACCCUUCAUUUGACCGAAUCCCUUCACACCUAAUCUAGCUUUGUGCCUGGGCUUCAAGUUGUGUUCUUCAACUUUAACUUUGAACACCCACUUGUUCUUCAAGGCUCUCAUGCCCUUAGGCAAUUUUACCAACUCAUAAGCGUGGUUCUCAUGCAAAGACUUUAACUCAUCUUGCAUGGCCUCAAUCCAUUGAUCCUUGUGCUCAUCUUCCAUGAACUCCUCAUAACAUUCAGGUUCUCUCCCGUCAGUGAGUAACACAUACUCAUUGGGUGAAUAACGGGAGGAAGGAAAUCAUUGUCUUGUGGACCUUCGAAGUGGAAUAUUUGAUCCGUCCACAACUUUAGGAGCAAUAGGAUCAUCAAUAACAAUACCAUUGUUAUUAUCAACAUCAACAUAUUGAUUCCAUACAUGAUUCUAGGCGUCACCAUGAUUAUCAAGCCCAAUAACAUGAUGCACACUUGUGUGUGGAACGUCAUCAUGAUAAACUAUACCAUCAAAACAGGAAGAUUCUACCUUCUCCGCUUUGUCAAUAUCUUUAAUUGCUUGAUUCUCCAUAAAAAUAAUAUCACGACUUCUCACAAGUUUCUUUUCAAUUAGAUCAUAUAGUCUGUAACCAAAUUCAUUUAGGCCAUAUCCAAUGAAGAUGCAUUGCCUUGUCUUGGCAUCUAACUUUGACCUCUCACCUUUUGGCACAUGUACAAAAGCUUUGCAACCAAAUACACUCAAAUGGUCAUAGGAAACAUCCUUUCCAUACCAAACACUAUUUGGUACAUCACUUUGCAAAGCAUUGAUAGGUGAUAGAUUAAUAACAUGUGCAGCGGUCAAUAAAGCAUCACCCCAAAAUUAGUUCGGCAACUUUGCUUCAGAAAGCAAACAACUAACUCUUUCCAUAAAGGUCCUUUUCAUCCUCUCAGCCAAACCAUUAAGCUGUGGAGUCUUGGGAGGAGUCUUCUGGUAUCUAAUAUCUUGAUGCUUGCAGUAUUCGUCAAAUGAUCCACAAUAUUCACCACCAUUAUCAGUAUGAACACAUUUCAGUUUCUUUCCAGUUUCUUUUUCAACUGAAGCCUGAAAGUGCUUAAAGACACCUAACACUUGGUCUUUAGUCUUCACGACAUAGACCUAAAGUUUUCUCGAGCAAUCAUCAAUAAAAGUGUAAGUAGAGUGCACCACCCAAUGUCUUCGUCUUCAUUGGACCACAUAAAUCAGAGUGUACCAACUCAAGCAACUCUGUCUCUUUCAAAGGAGGGUAGGAUUUUAAAGGAAACUCUAUUUUGUUUACCAGCCAAGCAGUUCUCACACUUUUCUAAUUUAGCACUUUUGAAAUUUGACUAAAACUUCUUCUUGGCUAGAACAUUAAGUUCUUUCUCGCUGAAGUGGCUAAGUCUCUUGUGCCAUAACAUUGAAGAGCUAUCACUCUCAACCCCAUUCACCAUAUCAACACAAGCAGAGGUUGUAGUCUAGUAUAGGCCACAACGUUUGUUAGUACGAGCCAUAACCAAGGAACCCUUAAUAAGCUUCCAUUUUCCAUCACCGUUGGUACUAACAUUUCCUUUAUCAUCUAAAACACCAACAGAAAUCAGGUGUAGACGAAUAUCAGGAGCAUAUUUCACAUUGUUCAAAACUAGUUUAGUUCCAACACUAGUUUUCAAAAAAAUUGUAUCAAUGUCAACCACCCUAAAAACAGUAUCAUUACCCAUACUCAAGGUUCCAAAAUCAUCAGGAGUAUAGGAAGAUAAAAAAUCCUUCCUUGAUAUCACAUGAGAUGCGGCACUAGUGUCCACAACCCAGCUUGACUCAGCACAAGCAAUAUUUAUCAUGUCUGCGUCAAGAACGGUAAAAAGUUCUUUGGUGGUGACGGUGGCUAGGCAAUUUUCAUUGCCAUCUUCUUUAGUUUUUUCCUCUUUGUUUUUGUUUUCCGUUUUCAACUUCUUGCAUAACUUCUUUGUGUGACCUUUCAUACCACAAUGAUAGCACUCAAUAUCCUUAAGUCUGCCUCUGAAUUUGCUUCUAUUUUGUUCUGUAUACUGAGAACCACGAGUUUUGUUUCUCCCCCCUAGGGCCAGUUAUCAGGACAUCCGACGAAGAAGAACCUAGAGAUUUUCUUCUCAUCUCUCUGUUCAAGAUACUACUCUUGGCGGAAUCCAUAGAGAUCACACCAUCGGGAGCAGAAUUUGACAAUGAAGUUAUAAAUGUUUUCCAAGAGUCUGGUAGGGAACCAAGUAAAAGCAAGCCUUGAAUUUCUACAUCAAAUUUAAUCACGUAACUGAUAAUUGGUUCAUGAUCCCCUGAAAAUUAUUCAGAUGGUCUAUCAACGGAGAACCAUCAUGAUACUUCAAACUCAACAUCUGCUCUAUUAAGAAUAUUUUGUUGUUGCCUUUCUUUCGAGCGUACAAACUUUCAAGAUGCUUCCAUAAGGUUCGAGCAUGUGUCUCCCCAAAAAUAUGGUUCAACACAUUAUAGUCAACCCAUUGCCUAAUGAAUCCACAUGCCUGUCUAUGCAAUAGAUUCCACUCUUCAUCCGUUUUAUUAUCAGGUUUUACAGUGGGAAAUACUGGUUUGUAAAAAUUCUUAACAUAAAGAAGAUCUUCCAUUUUCCCCUUCCAAAUGGCAUAAUCAAUACCAUUCAAAGUAACCAUUCUACUUGUGUUGGAUUCCAUUGUUUUUCCCAAAAAAUAUUGUUAUCGCAAAUCAAAGUAAAUCUUUUCUGAUGUGGAAAUUCAGACUGUGCUACAACCACAGAGAAUACUCAGAUAAAACCUUGGCUUUGAUACUAGUUUGUUGGGAAAACACGGACAAACACAAAAAAUAUAUAUGGUAAAUGUAUUGUAAAUAAAAUGGGAAAAUAAUGACACCAAGAAUUUUAUGUAAAAAACCCUUUUGAAUAAGGGAAAAAACCACGGGGCAAGAGGAACAACUGAUAUUACUAUAGUAAGAAAUUUUACACUGUAUAGUCACGAAUACGAUACUCAAAGAGACUACUACACACUCAAAAGGAACAAUACUUUUUUGGUUUCCACCUUACUAAAGUUUCGCUCACACUCUAUUUUUCUUCACAGACUAUUUUUCUUAUAUAUACUAUGGAAUACCGCACUUUGCUCUCAAAAUGAUUUUUAUCUCUAAUUUGGUGUGUUCUACAAAUGAGCAAGAAUACUCUAUUUAUAGAAGUAUAAAACCAUGCCUAUGCCACUAAUAAUGGCUACAAAUCUUACGAAUUUUGCCAACUACCAAAUCUUUUAAUUUUAACUCUAAUAACUAUUCUUUUUUUAACGAUUACUUGUAUCAGUUGAAUAGCAAAAGUUGACCAAAAAGUGGGAUGGAAUCAACAGUUACUACUCCAACUGCAAAGAGUAUAUCUGGUCGCGUACAUGUCAAGUACCUCAAACUUUCUAUGAGACUCUUGAACAAAGUGGAAUCCACUUCUUAUCCAUUGUGACAAUUUUGUUCCACUUUCCAUUGGGGUGUUCACAGGGUCGCAACCAAACAUGUUUAACUUCUUCAAAAUCUCCUUUGUAUAGCUUUCUUGAGAUAUAAAGAUGCCUUCCUCCAUUUUCUUCACUUGUAGGCCCAAGUAAUAUGACAUGAGGCCUAUGUCAGUCAUCUCAAACUCAAGGGACAUAACUUUCUUGAAGGCUUCAAAUAAAACUGGGUUGUUACCCGUUAGCAUGAGAUCAUCAACAUAAAGACAAACAAGCAUAAUAUCUCCAUUAGUAUGAAAUUUACUUCAAAGAGCAUAAUCAUGGAGACAACGAGUAAACCCAUUGUCUUGAAAGUAUUUGUCAAUGCAACUAUUACAAGCUCGUGGAGCUUGCUUCAAUCCAUAUAAGACUUUCUUAAACCUAAGCACCUUAUCUUCAUAAUUUUUAACCAUAAAACCUAAUGGUUUCUCAACAUAGACUUCUUUUUCAAGAUAUCCAUUCAAGAAUGCCGAUUUGACAUCUAGUUGAUGGAUCUUACACUUCAUUUUCUCCGCUAAAGAGAUCAAUAGAUGGAUUGUCUCCAUGGGGGCAACAAGCUCAUAAACUUCUUCAUAGUCGAUGCCAUGCCUUUGUUUGUAGUCUUUAGCCAAAAGUCUUACCUUGUAUCUUUCUACUUCUCCAUGAGCAUUUUGCUUCAUCUUGUAUACCCAUUUGACUCCAAUCACUUGAUUGUCCUCGGAAAGAGCUGUCAACUCCCAAAUGUUGUUCUUCUCUAUUGAGUGGAUGUCCUCCUCCAUGGCUUGUCUCCACCUUUUGUUAGUAACAACUUCAUCAAAAUUCAUUGGUUCACUAUCAUCAAAAAGACAACAAAAAAAAUCAAAAUUAGUAAUUUCUUAUGUGUCAUCAUAGAGUUCUUGGAUGCUCCUCAUCCUAUGUGGUUUUUCAUUCAAACUCUCUUGAGAAGAUGGAGAUGCAACAUUUGCUGGUGAAAGAGGUGGGGUUGCAUCUUGUGAAGGUGUAAUGGUCUUCUAUUCUUCUUCAUGUCCGAAGUAUGGAAGAAAAUUCUAUGUUUUUUCUUUCGGAGCCUCCCAAUUCCAUGAUGCUUGUUCAUCAAAUUCAACAUCACGAAUCACCACCACCUUGUUAUUGCUUGGAUUGUACAAUUUGUAGCCUUUUGAACUUGCGUCAUAAACAACAAACAUAUUUGACACUCCGAUCGUCAAGUUUAGCUCUCCAUUGAUGUGGAACAUUAUCAUAUGCUAUGCUCCCAAAGAUUCUGUAGUGCUUAACACUUGGUUUUCUUCCGCUCCAUGCUUCUUGAAGUGUUUGAUCUCGUACAUUUCUUGUUAGAGACCUAUUUCUCAAAUAAAUUGCACAACAAACAGCCUCGUCUCAAAAUUCUUUUGGUAGAUGUUUAGCUUUCAACAUACAUCUAGCCAUAUUAAGAACUGUUCUAUUCUAUCUUUCUGCAACUCCAUUUUGUUGGGGCGAAUAAGGUACCGUUAGAAGGCGACGAAUUCCAUGAUAUUGACAAAAAUCAUUAAAUUCUUUUGAAGUGAUUCACCUUUUCUACCGGACCUUAAUGCUUUUAUUUCAUAGCCACUUUCUUUUCUACAAGUGCUUUGAAAUUUUUAAAGGCAACAAAAACUUUAGAUUUUUGCUUCAAGAAGUAUACCCAAGUUUUUUCUACUGAAAUCAUCAAUAAAGAUCAAGAAGUAAUUUCUUUUAUCAAAAGAAGGUGGAUCGAUUGGACCAAACACAUCGAUGUGUACAAGUUGGAGUGGCUUACUUGUUCUUGACGUAGUCUCCUUUGGAAAACUCCUCCUUUCAUAUGUUUUCCAAGAAGACAAGCUUCACACAAUUGAUUUGGAUGGUUGAUUGACGGUAUCCCAUCAACCAUGUUCUUGUCUCCCAUUGAUUUAAGCACUUCAAAGUUCAAAUGCUCAAAUCUCAUAUGCCAACACCACGAGUCAUCUUGCACAUUAGCCUUCAAACACUUUGCAUCGAUAGUUUGAAGAUUCAAAGGAAACAACCUAUUCUUUGCCAUAUGAACUUUAACAAUUAAGUUGUAACUUGAAUCUCUUAUCCAAAGAUGAAUAUUUUUCAUAUGAAUAUCAUAUUCUUUUUCAAGAAGUUGAGCCAAAAUCAAAAUAUUUACUUUUCAAUUUUGGCACAUAAUAAAUAUUGGUAAUCAAUUUAUGAACACCAUCUUUACAAGAUAUCAGUACCUAUCCCUUCAAUUUGGAUCUUUGAGGUAUAUCCAAAAGAUACAUUAUCUUUCACAGUAUUCUUUAUCUCUACAAAUUUAUUUUUGUUGCCACACAUAUGAUUUCUUGCUCCAUUGGCAAGAUACCAUGAGCUGCAAUCAUAUUUAUCUUCUUCUUUGAGUGUAAAUAACAGUGUCGACUCAUCUUCAUGUUUGUUGUUGUCAACACGAUUAACUUUUUCUUCAACAUUACUACGACAUUCCCAAGAGUAAUGUCCCAUUUUAUGACAAUUAUAACACUCAAUUUUAGAUUUGUCAUACCUUAUUUCAUUUGUACCUUGAUAGACUCCACGUCCUCUGCCUCCUCCUUGACCACGACCACGACCUCUGAAUGACUGGUGAACUUUAUCUUUAUUUUUGAAAUAAUUGUCAUAACCUAUUCUUCCACGGCCUACACGACCUCCACGGCCUCGCCAUUGUCCAUUUCCUUUGUGACUUUUCUCACCUUCAAAUCCUUUGAAGGAUGCAUGAGUUUUAAGAAGUUGCUCUAGUGGCUCUUCUGUACUACUUUUCAUUUUCUUUUUAUAGGCUAGUAAAGAACCUUCCAAUUGUUCUACCGUCAUAGAGUCUAGAUCUUUAGACUCCUUAAUAGCACACACCACAUAAUCAAAUUUAGGUGUUAAAGAAUGAAGAAUCUUUUCUACUGCACACACAUAAUCUACUUCCUCUCGUAUCUUCUUAGUUGAUUUACAACAACCAUCAAUCUUGAACAGAAAUUCGAAAUGGAUUCGAAUUCUUUCAUUUUAAAACUUCAAAAUCAUCCUUUAGCAUUUUAAGUUUUAUCUUCUUUACUUUCUCAACUCCUUGGAGAGAAUUUUGUAAAAUCUCCCACGCUUCUUUUGAGGUGGUUGCAUCAGCCACCUUCUCAAACAUGCUAUCAUCCAAACAUUGAUGGAUAAGAGUGAAGGCCUGUUGAUCUUUAUUUCUUGUCUUUAACAAGAGCUCCUUUUCAUUUGAGGGAAAGUUUCCUCAUUUGCGGGUUUUAUAUAUCCUUUGUCUACAAUAUCCCAAACAUCUUGAGAGCCAAGAAUAGUUUUCAUUCGUAGACACUAUUUUUCAUAAUUUUUCUUGUGAGACGGAGGUAUUGAAAGGACAACAGAUUAUUAUUUGUCAUGGCUCUGAUACCAUGUUGCUGGACAAAAUGAUAAUCACACCCAGGAUAUUGUCCAAACUAAAUAGCAAUAGAAAGAGAGUAACAAAGACACCAAAUAUUAAAAUGGGUAAAUAUGAUACCCGAAUAAGUAAUACAAUAAUAUUGAUGAAAAACUUGGUAGUGUCAAAAGACUACUACUUAACACUCUUUUAUUUCUUGCAACUUACAAUAAUAUUACUUGCACACUAUUUUCUCACAAACUAAGAAAUAGUUUGUGGAUUACUCUCUCUACUCUCUAUUGCUUCUCUAUUUUGGUGUGUCUUCAAGUGUUCAAUUACUACUCUAUUUAUCGAGUUUUUUUGAACACCUGUUACAUCAUUAAUGACAUAAUAUGGUAGCCAAUUUCAAUAAAAAAUUGGUUGCCUAACUCUAUCAAACUUAUACCAAACUUUGACUACCUACUUCCAUAAAUGUGGUACCAACUUUCACAUUGGUGGCUAUACAUUUUCACAUCUGUGGCUUGUAAUUUGAACAAGUAUGACUACCAAAUUAAUUGUUGGCAAGAUUUAUUUCCACAUGAGCAUCUUUUAUUUAAGGUCACAUGAUAUCUAUUGUAGUAGCGAUUAAAAAGGAUGUCUGAGUUGCUCUAGCUAACAAGUUCAAGAAAUUUACAAGGACGAACGAAAGAAACACUUUUGCUUAGUUUGUACCACGUGUGCUUAGAAUUUUUGAAAAUCUGUAUUUACCCUUCCUUAACAUUUCAUAUAUAUAUACUUAUGACUCAUGCCAAUCAUACAUAUUUCUUAGUUGUUGUGCUUACUCCUUAUCACCAGGUGUUGCAUUUGAAUCUUUAGAAAAUUUGAAUUGUCCACACCUUUCAAAGACUUGUAAAAAGUCAGUCUACUUAUGAUUUUAGAAUAAAUGAAUUUAAGAUUUUAAUGAACUCUGGAAAAACCUAUUGAUUCAGACGAACAUAGAGUAAAUAAUGUUUAAGAGGUUGGGCUUCAUUGUAUAAAAUGCAUAAAAUCAAAAGUUAGGUUCUCUCAUUUGAUUCAGACGAACAUAGAGUAAAUAAUGUUUAAGAGGUUGGGCUUCAUUGUAUAAAAUGCAUAAAAUCAAAAGUUAGGUUCUCUCAUUUAUUGGUGUUAUUCUUUAAAAAUUAUUUUAUUUGGUUAGGCAACAUUCGUAGAACUUCAAGUUAUCAAUUAAUUAAAUAAAAAGGGUCAAAAAUGUAGAAGAGAUUUAUAUAAUAUGAAUGGUAUAGAUGAUUGUGCAAAUUGUACUUGGAACCUUUUGUUUGAUAAAUUAAGUCAUCCACACCAACAAAAGGAUUAUAAAAGGUCACUCUACUUAGGUACCUACUUAGAUGAGAUUAUAGUUUCACCAAGUAUCUUCCUUAUUUUUGUGCUUUUUGGUGACUGCAAAGGAAGCUUUUUGAAAUUAUCAUCCAGUUGUCUAUAUAUUAUUGCAGGAAAGCCUAUUGCAUUCAAAUAUAAGGUUUAAAAAUUGAAGGCAGAAAGAACAUCAAAGACAAAAUUUGCAAUUCCUCUUUUUGUCUUUUCUCUUUCAAGCAUGUUUCUUCAUCUUCUUUACCAUUUUGAAUGGUUCCAGAAAACAAUCUUGCUUUAGAAUUAGUGUAUUAGUCUUAUUCUUGGAAUUAGUGUUUUGCAAGUUAGUUUGUAUAGUAUGAAAUAUGGACUUGAGAGUAAUAUUAUGUUCUCUAUCUGGUGUAAAUAAUUUCACGGAGAAGUUAAUUUUGGUUCUCCAUAUUGUUGUAUGCAUUAAUUCUUGUCUGUUGUGCAAGACACUUUGAUCUUGGAGCUGAGUAUACAUGCAAGUGGUAGUGAACGAGAUUUUUGAACAUUGCUAAUAAAAAAAAUUCAAAUUAAAUGAAGAGAACAGUAAGAAAGUGAGACUUGUAAUUACUUAAAACAUUGAGAAGAUUCAUUAGCAAAGGCGGGAUGAGAAUUAUGCCUCUAUAUUUCAUGGUUGACGAGGAAACAUAAAUCAUGAAAAUUUGUGAAAAUUGAAUUUAUCAUUUAUUCAUCUAUAUAUAGAGUCGACCCAUUUCUCACUUUUUUUUCAUCACUAAAGUGACUUGUAUAUCCGCACACGUAUGAGAGUUUAGUACUUUCUUAAAUUGUCAAGGUUACUGGGUAUUUUAGCAAUAAACUUCUUCCUUUUAAUAAGCAUAUUUUAAAAAAUCACACUUCAAGUGCUGCUACAUUUCAUCCAAUUAAAUUGGGAAAAUAGUAUCCUCUUAGGGUGUGCUUGGUAGUAGAUUUGAGAUUUAUUUUCUCAUGUUGGGUUGGUUAGUAGAAAAUAUUUUUCGGAAAUAAUUUUUUAGUGUUUGGUUUAUGAAUGAAAAAUAUUUUUUAGAGACAUAUUUAUUUUACUAAAGCAGAAAAUAAUUUAUGAAAUUGAAAAUAUUUUUUAAAAAUAAUUUUUAUUUGGGGUGGUGGGGUGGGGGUAGGGGGAGGGGAUAGGAGUGAAAAAAUAAAAAUUUAAACUUUAUAUUUUUUUUUUAAAAAUAAAAUUAAUUUUUUUGGGGUUGUGGGGUGGGUGGGGGGAUGACCGGGGGAGGGGGGAUGUGGCUAGGAAUUUAAAAAUAAAAAUUUGAAGUUGACAUUUUUUUUAAAAGCAAAAUUAUUAUUUUGGGGAGGGAGGGGGGGGGGGGGCUGGCCGGUGGUGGGUGGGUGGGAUGGGUGGGGAUCAGGAUCGGGUAAAUAAAUAAUAUUUUAAAAUUGAUUUUUUAUAUUAUUGUUUUUCCCAAAAAAAAUGUAAUUUAAAAUUGGAGCAGAGUUUUGGAAAAUGUUUUCCUUAAUUUUUGAAGGGAAGUCAUUGUCUUUAAUUUUGAGGAAAAUGAAUUGAUUUGGAAAGUGAAAAGCAUUUUCUAAUCAACUCAAUUUUUCUGAGUUUUAAAUUUAAUCCGACUAAUUGAUUAUUUAAUAUUAAUUGCAAUGGUAGCUUAUUUCAAUGUAUAUAUAUAAUUUGGGCCCAUUUUCUUAAAAUUUUCAGCAAACCCAACCCAUUAAUAAUUCAAUAACCAUUCUCCAAAAGAUCCAACCCAUCUUUUCUUGUAACCCAGUCCAGCUCUGAUCGUGCCCCUUUUCUCGUCCAAAAUAAGCCAUUAAUCGCCCGUUUAAUCAAGAACCGGAAAUUCCCAGAAGAAACGACACUCCAACGUCUUUGUUCGUACAACAAGGUACAUGCACAUUUUCUGUCCUAGGCACACGGGAUCGUCCUCCUUGCGUGAGAUGAGGCCACGUCGAAGAACCAAUCCUAGCCGCCGGCGUCCUUAUCAAAUUUUGAAAUUUUGCCAAAGAAUUCGAAAUUUCUUUGUACGACCCAUCUGUGGAUUUUUUUUGUCUUUAAGGGAUUUUGAAGUUAAAAGGAUGAGGAAGAAAUUCGUUUCUACCCUCGAAACUCUUCCCCGUUCUGCCCUUCUCCCCCUCUUUCCCAACCCUAAUUUCCUCGAUAUAAAAGCUUGACGUUCACUGAAAGAAAAAAAAAGAAAAGAAAAAAAGCCGAAAAAGUGAGAGAAUUGUGAGAGUGGUUUUGGAGUUGUUAUUCUGAGUAACAAGAUCUUUGAACAAUUUCUUUUUAAAACAAGGGAGUAGUAUUCUCAUUCUUUAAAGACACUUUCAAAUAGGGAAGUUUCCUGAUUGGCUGCCCGGUUCCUCUGAUUAUCGUUGGCGUUCGAGUUCCUUGUGAUAAAAGUCUACUCCUCGCUCAUCCCGUCUCCAUUCGCUGCCUUAAAGGAGGUGAUAUUCUUCUAUAAAUUUCCACUCAGUCAAAGUAUUGUUCUAUUUUUUUUGUAUCUCUGAACGACUUUCACUUCUUGAUUUUACUGCUACUGCAUGAUAAUUUUUUUUGUAUGGUUUGAAUGAGCAUAAACCUGGUCGGUCAAUGUUAAGUGUCUCAUUUGUGUAAUUUCCUUGUCUUCAAAUAUCUAUGGAGAUUGAGAAUAGAGCACAUGUUCUCUUUAUUUUUUUUGUCUGUUCGUCCUACUGUUGGUUACGUUUGCAAGGCAUUUCAAGAUUGUCAUUUAGUAUUCUAGAAUCGAUUAUCUUAUAAUAUGAUUUAAGUGUGUAGUCAUGGACUUUUCAUGUUUUGAACUACUUUCUAGAUUGAAAUUAUUAUUCUUUCUGUUCACAUUUCCGAGUUUCUCUUUGAUUGCAUUCCGUUUAACUCUCAAAGUAUUUGACUCGUCUUAGUCGUUUCGAAGUAUGAGGUGUUUUCAAAUCUGUCAUUAUUUUCAUGGAUUUUAGUCGAUAUAUGGAUUAGACAAUAGGGAGUGUGAACGUUGUGCGACUAUAGUCCAUUAAAUAUUAUAGUACGUCUUUCCCGUUACUGUUCAUUUUAUUUUCUUGCAUCUAUUUCUUCUUUUUUUCUGCUUCACUGUUUUUUUUCAGCAUAUGGGUUUUAUUAUAAACUUGUAUUUAGUUAUUUGGAGUGUAUAUGAUGUUUUGAAUGAUAUUUUACAAGCAAUUUUUUUAGAAGGUUUGGGAGGUGGGGGAAUAUUUCCUUUCCAUUCGGUUCGAGAUAUGGCCAGAUUUUUAUAGGGUUGUAGUUUAAACUGUUUGAAGAAGGUUCAAUUUUUAGUCUAAAUUAUCAUCUCACCCAUGCCUAUCUCGUUUGCGAGUAAAUGCACCUCUUUAAUAUGCGAUUCCCCAUAGCUUCCCUUGUGCGUUUUAUUUUAGUUAGUUCAACUAGAGUCAAUCAUUUAUUCUUAGUUUUCCUUCUUUGUGUCUCGAAAAAUCAUCAUUAUUUUCUCCAUACACUUUUUUCUAAGAUGAGCACUUGAGGUGCAUUAUAAAAAGUUUUAUUGGACUAAAUCUUUUUCCACAUUUAUGGGUCGGUUUUGGUUCCAAGAAAUGACUGUCUCUCCUUAGUUUGCCUUGAACACAUCGGAUUUGCUUGGCUUGACUGCAAAUAUUGUAUUUUUUUUAUAGAAGUCAAGGUUCUACCAUUGAAAUAUGUAUGAUUUUCGAUUUCUAUGUAGCAUCUAUCGAAUUUAAUUUUGACUCGAUAAAACAUCCGCCAGCUUGCUCUCAUUGCUUGAGGAUUUUUCACUUUAAAUUUUAUUUGGGUUGUUUGAAUUAUGAGAAUAUAUUGCAAUACUAAGGCAGGUUUGCUUGUUUAAUAAUAAGUUUAGUUGAUACAUGUUUGUUGUAGGGGUCAUUGUAACCCAUAAGUUCAACUUACCUUUUUCUUUUGCAAUUAACUAACUUUGAAAAUGCGUAAUCCUUAUUCAGUAAGUGCUUUUAGUACGUGUAAUGUUACAGCUUAUUGUUAACCACAUACAGUAGCAUUAUUUUCGCUAUCACCGUUUGUUUCCUUUUUUCUUAAUUGUAAAAAAUCUUGCCUACCAAAGAUUUGUAGUUUAUUUGUCAUAUGUAAGUUUGAGAUGAAGUUUCUUUUCACAUGCUCUUAAUUUUCUAAAACAUCUCGUACGUCAUUCCAAUUACCAUCCGGUCCUCCUCUCUCUCUCUCUCUCUCUCUCUCUCUCUUUAUCUCUUCAUAUCGUUUAUUUAUGUGUUGACUAUAUGAAGUUAGUCUUAGGGCUAGAUAUAAACAAAUCCUCUGCAAGACACCAUCUCGUUUUGAUCACUUAUUUUAAAUCGACUAAAAAAUAAAUCUAGCAAGCCUUAUUUAGAUAAUAAAAUCAAUAUUUUAUUUCUGAAAGCAACUCUAGUUAGUUUAAGAUUAUCCAAAUAAUAUUAGCCAAAUAAUAUUAGCUGUCAGAUAGACGUAUUUAAAUGGGUAUUUUAGGUGCGUUAAACACCUUCCUAAAGUACAAUAUGAAUCCCCGACCCCCUAAAUAUUUUCGAAUGAUUUUAUUUGUUUAAAUCUUUUGGAAACGUCAGUUUUCUUGAUUUUUCUUCAUAAAUGAAGUGGCGACUCUAAAAAAGUCGAAAACUCUUCAAAACAAUAUUUUUUCUUUUCCAUAUAGAAUCAAAAUGGCGGCUCCGAUGGAGACUUUUGAGGAUUCUAACCUUAAGACUAACAUUAUUUUGUUAUAAUUGCUUAAUUGUUUACUUGAUUAUUAUAAUUGUCCCAUUUUUCAUGGCAUAUUUCCGCUAAUUGCCACCUCAUUUGCAUUAGGAAAUUGAAUGUUAUGUGGCUUUCCACGGCUUUCUUCAUAAAAUACACAAAAGUUUCAUUUGGAAGUAUCAAACAAAUAGUUGGAAUGCGGUCAUCUGACGUUGUUUGGUAGUUUCACCCCGAUGUUUGUCCGACUCGGGUAACCGUCAACUUGAAAACUAUUCUAGUAAGCCUAAGUUAGAGCAAAACCAAAACCAAAUUAAGCAUUAGCAUAAGACGACUUAAUACCCAAGGUGUAUUAAGUCCAUUUAGUAGAAAAUUACCAAAAUCGUGUCUAAGGUCUUCGACCUCACGACACAUCAUAUUUAUGUGACAUUUGAAUGAUGUACGUGUGAAAACCAAUGUGGAGUGGGUAAGCCUAACUAGCAUCUGUUUUGUAGAUAUGGAUCAUUUUUAAAUGUUCGAUAUGGUCAUAUCAGCGCCACCUCAACUAACGAUGUGGUAUAAUAAUCUGAACGGGGAUCAUAGAAGAACCCACAACAAAUACGUGGGUGCUCUGACAGAAUUAAUCAACAUGAAUGGUUGGCCGGAAUUGGUUGAGGUCCUCAUGGGAUAUUGGAUAGACAACGAAUGGUGUUCCGAUUCGGAAACGCCAAAAUUACCUUGACUUUGGAGGAAAUUCGAGACUGCAUACACACGGUAGGCACUGGGAUAUAAAGGAAAGCAAGAAAAUAAGAAGAGAUCUUUAUCCCUAAUAAGCCUUUGGUAGAAAGUAUUGCUGACUGGUUCGGUUGCGGAAGACUUUGCCUACUGCUGUCAAGAAUCCCACAUAGCAUUUAGAGAUCUUUAUAUCAGAUUUGGACAUGCGAGUUUCUACUCCACUUACAACUGAGAGUUCAAGGUCUUUGUAGAGAAUGGAAUGAGAUUCGUCCUCUAGCAUUUGCCGUAGCGUUGUUGGGAAUGAUGGUCUUCCUGCAUGGACCGAGUAUGAGCAUUAAUACUCGUGUUAUAGUAAUCGCACAUACUCUAUUCAAAGGGUACGAGAACCAAGGGAUAACAAAGUACUACCCUAUAGCUCUGAUUAUCUUGUCCGAUAUGUAUCGAGCCCUGGGAAAAUGCAAGGAGGGGCAUCGGUGCUUCCAAGGGUGUAACUUGUUCCUUCAGUGGUGGAUCCUCAGUCAUCUAGAAAAGGGUGUUGGGACUCAGAAGCUACAUACUCUCGACAAAAAGAACACCCUUAAAGAUUUGAAUGGCAUGUUGUACUGGGCGAAUUUGGACAAUAAGAGAACGAGAGGGAGAUGGGCUCAGAUUUUCUCUAAAUUGAGAUAAGAAGAUCUCCAAUGGAUGCUUGACCGUUCCAUCCCUAAAGAAGUUGUCGUGGAGAGCCGCACACAGAUUGUGACUACUCUACGAGGUAUUCGGUGAAUUCGCCCUUAUGCACCCUUCUGAGUCUUGCGAUAGUUAGAGAGGAGACAAACUAUCCCCAAAGAGGUGUACUAUGGCGCUUAUGAAUAUGAAAUUCGAGAUGAUAGAGUGCACGACGCGUCUAAAAUGUUCAAAGAAUGGAAAAGUUCCAAGCAUAUGGAUAAAGACUCCAUCGCCCCUGAAUGAUUCAAUGCUAGAUAUGACAAGGGCUACAAAGAAGGCUGAAGAGGGACAUACAAAAUGUCUCCUCACAAACCCCGCGUAGCUUUCACAGCGUAACAGACUGAGAAGCAAAGCAAUGGCCGAGCUACAAGUGGUAAAGAAAGAAGCCCAAGAGGUGUACGCUAAGUUUAUCGAGAACCAAGAUACUCUUGAGAGGGUGACUCAAGAGGUGGAAAUACUAAGGUGUGAUUAUGAUUAUUUCGAUACCUGGGUCGAGGAGAAAAUCGAGAGGAUGCGAUACGAAAACUUGGAAAGAAAAGAGAGGAAAUCGCUGCUGUUUCAUAUGGGGGAAGGAAAACCCCCAGAAGCUCAUCAUAUUCACAAGCUCUCGACCUUCUCACAAAUCCCACCAAGCUUGCUACACACAAGCUAGUCAUCCCAAAUAUCCUCCAGUUUAUCAGAAUAUCACCUCCACUUAUCCAAACGUCCAAGCUUCACUAUACCAAAGUCCACCCCCAAUUACAAAAAUCCAUCUCCCAUUUUCCCAAAUCAUCCUCCACCCUACCAAAUUCCAUCUCCUACCAGGGUGUUGCUCCCAACUAUGCUAACGUGCAGUCGAGCUAUCGAGCAACCCAUCCUAUUUAUCAAGUCCAAGCUCCACUAUACCAAAAUUCUCCCCUGGAUUACCAAUCUCCAUCGCCAAACUACCAAGAAAAUCUAUAUCCAUAAGCCAAGCUCCCUGUCCAAAUACCAAAAGUCAUCAACAGGUGUCUUUUUCUCAACAAGGUAGUUAUGACCCUCCCCGACCCAUAUGGGAGAAUAAGCCUUCAAGGAACUUCACUGUGCUCGUUGAAAGCCGAACAAAGCUGUACGAGCGACUGACUGUGGUUGGAUACAUCCACCCUGUGGGGCCCUAACUCGUGGAUGUCAAUUCAAAAUUCUACAGACCUGAUCAGAGAUGUGCUUAUCAGUCCAACAUUGUUGGGCAUGAUACUGAGGAUUGUAUCAACCUCAAGCACAAAAUUCAGAUUUGAUUGACCAAGAGGUAGUCUCUCUCCAACCGGCGGCACCAAAUGUCAACACUAACCCAUUGUUAAAUCAUGGGCGCCUUAAUAUCAAUAUGAUCAAGACAGAUGAUGAAUGGUGUGGAACGAAAAUGAUUACUCCAAUUGUUCACGAUGAUUUGGAAAAUAUUUUAGCUUUUUUGAGUAUCAAAGAGAAGAAAAAGUUCGUUAUUUUGACACCCUCAAAGGCUGUUGCUUUGGUGCCAUCAAAAACUCUCAUCACGCCUAAGCUUGUUAUUGAAACUUCUACUGCUCAAGGCAUGACCAGAUCUAGAAGAUGUUACACUCCUAACGAGCUUGCUCUCGGAGGUCAAAAGAAGGAUCUGGCUAAAAGGACAACGAGUGAAGGUGAGGCAGAGGAAUUCUUGAGGAUAAUGCAACCGAACGAUUAUUCUAUUGUCAAGCAUUUGGAGAAGACUCCAACCAAGAUUUCUGUAUGGGCUCUGCUGAUGAGUUCUUAAUCAAACAUGAAGGCUUUGAUGAAGGCUAUCGAUGAUACAUAUGUACCCACGGGCACAAGAAGCGAUAAAGUGGCCUCUAUGAUUCACUAGGUUAUUCGAGGGUACCGAAUCAACUUUUGUGACGUUGAGCUGCCUUUUAAAGGGAGGUCGCACAACAAGGCGUUGCACAUCACUGUGGUAUGCCGCGAAAAAGUUGUCUAUCGCGUCUUAGUAGAUGAUGGAUCUGAUUUGAAUAUCUGCCGGUUAUCGACGUUGAGGAAGCUAAGGUUUGACCUUGGGAAGUUGGAGCAAAGACAAGUCAACAUAAGAGACUUUCAUGGGGGUCUAGUGAGAUACGUUGGGAGCAGUGAAUCUGAGCAUCCAAAUGGGUCCAACAUAAUUCAUUGCACAGUUUCAGGUAUUGGAUAUCGAUACCAACUAUAAUCUUUUUUCUGGGAAGGCCUUUCAUCCAUAUGGCUGGAGCUGUCCCUUCUACUCUGCAUCAGAUGAUGAAGCUCAUUUGGAAGAACGAAGAGCUGGUUAUUCAUGGAAAAGGGAGUCACUUUGGCAGACAAGGGCCAAUCAUUUAUGAAGUAUCGCAUGAUAUAGAUUUUUACAUGGUGGAGCUAGUAAAGUACACGGGUGAAGACUUGUCUCCACAGAUUCCUAUGCCAGGUUUCGGAUUAGGAUGAAAUUCCCAAGGUAUUAUUGAGCCUAUUCUGGUACUCGUCAAGGGAGCCAUAUAUAGUUUGGGGUACACCCCCAAAGAUGAUGACAUGAAGACGAAGAAAAAAAAUGAUCAAGCAUUAGUUAAUCUGAUCCAAAAUCUUUAUCAAUCCUUUCCGGUCUGGGAGUAUGCCGAGCAUGAAGACCUUUGGGAAGGAAUCUGUGACCUCUUUGAGGAGAUCGAUGCUGUUAUUGAGGAAAAGGUCGAGCUAGCUGGUAUCCGCGAUGCUGAGUUAGGAUAGAUGCUGUGGAACUUGACCUCCACGCCCAUGUUGAGUCCCCAAACUCCUCGGUAAAAGGGCAUCAUUUCAUGCAUAUUUUAAAUCGGUGGUAGUCCGGAAUAGGCCCAAGACCCACCAUUUUGCAUAUUUUUUUGACUGUUAAAUUUUAGAAUUUCCAUCCUGAUGUUCAAAGAAGGUAACAUGGCCCUAUGCCAUGGCUAAAGUUUGCAUUGUUUUCCAAUUUGAAUGAAAGCCUCUUCUAAUUUUAAAACUUAUCUAUUUAUUCAUUUGUUAUACUUUACUUUCCUAACUUUGUUUAUGGUUUCAGUCUUGUAGGUUUUAGACUUACAAAUGUCAUGUCAUGUCACGAGCUGAAUGAACAAAAUAAGGCAGGUGAUGACGAGGUUGAUGACUACGAAGAAGAAAGUGAGGAACCAGAGUAUGUUGCUGAGGAAUUUUUGUAGUUUGAAAAUCAGCAUAAGAAAAAUCUAGAGGAAAUGGAAACGGUACAUCUGGGAGACCCUGAAUGCGUUAUAGAGGUUAAGAUCAACAUCCAUUUAAAUGAAACUCAAAGAAAAGGCCUAAAUCAUUUGCUUGAUGAAUAUUUUAUUGUGUUUGCCUACGAAGUCGGUGAAAUGUAAGGGCUAAGUACUGAUGUUGUAUCUCAUAAACUACCGAUUAACCCAAAGUUUGAUCUGGUGAAGAAAAAGGCUCGAAAGUUCAAGCAUGAACUAAGUUUAAAGAUCAAAGAAGUGAUCACCAAGCAAAAAGAGUCUUGAUUGGUGGAAGUGACACAAUACUCAACUUGGAUAGCCAAUGUUGUUUCGGUUGCCAAGGAAGACGGGAAAAUUAAGAUUUGUGUUGACUACAGAGACUUUAAUAAAGCUAGCCCGAAGGAUAGUUUUCCGUUUCCGAAUAUUCAUAUUUUGAUUUAUAACUAUGCUAAGCAUGAGAUGCAGUCAUUUGUGGAUUGUUACGCAGGUUACCACCAGAUUUUGAUGGAUGAGGAAGAUGCAGAAAAGACGGCUUUUAUUACACCUUGGGGUCUAUUUCAUUAUAGGGUGAUGCCAUUUGGCCUCAAGAAUGCUGGUGCUACCUAUAUGAGGGCUAUAGCGACCAUAUUUCAUGACAUGAUUCAUAAAGAGAUUAAAGUGUAUGUGGAUGACGUCAUAAUCAAGUCCUGCGAGAGUUCGGACCACUUGACACAUCUAAGGAAAUUCUUUGAUCGUUUUCAUCAUUACAACUUGAAGUUAAAUCCCUCCAAAUAUGCUUUUGGAGUUCCGGUUGGAAUGUUGUUGGAUUCAUAGUCAGCAGAAGGGGUAUUGAGCUCGACCCUUCUAAGAAUAAAGUAAUUCAAGAGUUAACUCCGCCGAAGAUGAGUAAACAGGUGAUGAGUUUCUUAGGGAGAUUAAACUACACCAGUCGAUCCAUAGCUCAAUGAACCGUAGUUUCUGAGCCUAUUUUCAAGUUGUUGAAGAAAAAUGCCCCGACAAAAUAGACUGAAGAGUGUCAGACUGAUUUUGAUGCUAUCAAGAACUAUUUGUCCAAUCCACCAGUAUUGGUUCCUCCGCGAGAAGGGAGUCCUUUGUUGUUGUACUUGUCUGUCUCUGAUAGUGCAUUCGGAUGCAUACUUGGUCUACAUGAUGAUACAAUAAACAAGGAAAGGGUUAUCUAUUAUAUAAGCAAGAAGUUUACUUCAUACGAGUCUCAUUACACUUUGUUUGAGAGAACGUGUUGUGCUUUGACGUGUCUUGCCCAGAAGAUGAGACAUUAUUUGACUUCUUAUACUACAUACCUCAUUUCCAGAAUGGAUCCAGUGAAGUAUAUCUUCUAGAAGGCGAUGCCGACCGGAAAGUUAGCUAAGUGGCAAAUGUUGUUGAAUGAAUUUGACAUGGUGUAUGUGACUCGGAAAGAGAUAAAGGCAUAGUCUUUGGCUGAUCAUCUUGCAGAAAAUCCCGUUGAUGAAGAGUAUGAACCACUUAAGACCUAUUUUCACGAGGAAGAAGUAUCAUUUGUGGGUGAGGAUAUUUAUUAAGCAUAUCCUAGUUGGAGAUUAUUCUUUGAUGGAGCAGAAAAUCGUUAAGGUAAAGGUAUCGGAGCAGUCUUAGUGUCAGAAUCUAGUCAACACUAUCCCAUGGCGGCUAAGCUACGAUUUAAUUGCACGAACAACAUGGCCGAAUACGAAGCUUGCAUUCUUGGUUUAAAAAUAGACAUCGACAUGAAUGUCUACGAGUUGUUAGUUAUUAGAGAUUCUGACCUUUUGAUUCAUCAAGUUCAAGGAUAAUGGGGUUUGAAGAACCCAAAGAUUAUACCUUACGUACAGUAUGUGCAGAAGUUGUGCAAAAGAUUUCAUAAGAUCGAGUUUAGACAUACUCUCAGAAUACAAAAUAAAUUGGCCGAUAAUCUUGCCACCAUCUCUUUGAUGAUUAAACAUUCGGAUAUAAAUUAUAUUGAUCCUCUGGAUAUAGAGUUGAAAGAACAUCCAGUUCAUUGUUUCCAUGUUGAAGCAGAACCAAACUGUUUGCCUUGGUAUUUUGAUAUAAAGAAGUAUUUGGAGUCUGGAACAUAUCCCAAAGGUGCUAAGUCCAAUCGAAAGAAGUCGAUACGGCAUAUGGCUCUUAAUUUCUUUCUGAGUGGAGAAAUCCUUUAUAGGAGGACUCAAAUUUGGGUCUUCUCAGUGUGUGGAUGUUGUUGAAGCCGCGAAACUUAUUGAACGGAUACAUGCUGGAGUUUGUGGCACGCAUAUGAAUGGGCUCACUUUGGCAAGAAAGGUCCUUCAAGACGGGUAUUUCUGGAUCACUAUAGAGAAUGAUUGUUGCAAGUUGGUGCAAAAUGCCAUAAAUGUCAAGUGCACGGUGAUUUGAUCCGAGUGCCAACUCACGAACUUAAUGCUAUGAGUUCGCCUUGGCCAUUUGUAGCUUGGGGUAUGGAUGUCAUUGGUCCGAUAGAGCCAGUCACUUCUAAUGGACACAGAUUUAUUGUGGUUGCCAUUGAUUAUUUAAUCAAGUGGGUGGAAGCAGCUUCUUACAAGUCGGUGACCAAGAAAGUUGUAGUUGAUUUUGUUUGCAACAAUAUGAUAUGCAGGUUUGGAAUACCUGAAUCCAUUAUUACUGACAACGGUGCAAAUCUCAAGAGUCACUUAAUGAGAGAGCUAUGUGAGCAAUUCAAGAUUACUCAUCGAAACUCAACUGCUUAUCGCUCUCAAAUGAAGGGAGCUAUAGAAGCCGCCAAUAAGAAUAUUAAGAAGAUUUUGAGAAAAAUGAUUGACAAUCACCGAGGUUGGCAUGAUAUGUUUCCAUAUGCCUUACUGGGAUAUUGAACAGCUGUCAGAACACCGAUUGGAGCUACUCCGUACUUACUAGUGUAUGGAACAGAAGAAGUUAUACCUGCUGAAGUCAAAAUACCGUCUUUGAGAAUCAUCUAAGAAGCUGAGUUAAGUAAUGCUGAAUGGAUCAAUAAGCGGAUUGAUCAACUUACUUUGAUUGAUGAGAAGAGAAUGGUUUUCGUUUAUCAUGGUCAAUUGUAUCAACAGAGAAUGAUUCGCACUUUCCACAAGAGAGUAAGAGCUAGAACUUUUGAAAUCGGUCAGUUAGUACUUAAACGCAUUUCUCCUCAUCAAGAUGAGUACAAAAGAAAAUUCGCACCAAAAUAGCAAGGACCUUACAUGGUUCGCGAAGUAUUAUCUAGAGGUGCUUUGGUCUUGUCAGAGAUGGCUGACACCGUAUUUCCUAAACCUAUCAACUUAGACGCCGUCAAGAGAUACUAUUUGAAGCUUCGUUUUGCAUUUCUGUUAUUUACUCGAAUCAUUCUGUUUCCUUGUAUUUGUUCUGCUUAAUUUUAAUCCCUCUUUGUAAUAAACUAUGUCUGACCUGAAUUUUGAAGAAUGGGAUACGUAGGCGGCCUAUGUCGGCCUUGGUCACCCCCUCUUUUAUCCUUUCUAAUAUUUGUUUGUAUUUGAACUACGUUAGACCUGAAUUCUCAAGAAUGAGAUACGUAGGCGGCCUAUGUCGGCCUUGGUCAUUUUUUUUAAUUUUUAUUAUUGUUGUUAACCUUGAGGGAACUAAGUUUGACCUAAUUCCUUGCUCAACGGGAUACGUAGGCGCCACAAGGUUUUGGUCAUAUCUCCCAUAAGAUUUCUAUUCCUCUUUACAAUAGAAACCGAGAUAGAAUUUUUGAGAGCUACUCAAAAUUCUCGAGAAGAAGAUUCUUCCUCAGCAAGUCAAGACUAAAGAUGUUUUGAGAUUUGCAAUUGGGAUAGAAUUUUGAAGAACAUCUCAAAAAUUCUGCGAUCUACUCAGUAACAGUGGAAAGAUAAGCAAGACAGUUAAUUGGGACAGAAAUUUUGAGGAUGACAUCAAAAUUUCAGCAUGGGUUAAUCUACAAGUCUAGAGUGACUCUUAAAACUCCCCAGCGAAUAAUCAGAUAAACCUCUAAGAAUCAGACUCAAAGAAGUUUUUUAAGCCUGAUAUGACAUGACUUGGCAGUAACCUUUUUCAGAUACUAUUUCUCAAAAUUUAUUUCUCUUAAAAUUUCACUUUUACGUUUUAUUUGUUUUGACAUAAAAUAUUUUGUCUUAUUUGUCAAGAGUUGGGAGAUAGGGAAAUCAACCGGAGAUAGCAGGACAAGGGGAAAACAACUUAAGAGAUCGACACAGAUCAAUUUGGUUUUAAAACUAACAAUUUUUUCUGUGGACGCAGGUUAAUAGCUUUGCUUUAAAAUCAGCAAAUUCUUGCGAUGGAUGAAUAUGGAGAAGUCAUAGGAGGAGAAAACUAUCCAAAAAUCAUUAGUUUUCCUAGAAGCACUUAGCAUUUUAUAUCGCUUAUGUCGGAGAUUUGGGAAUAUGAAUUAUUUAUUUCAAUCAAUUUCCUACAACAUGAAAUUUAUAAAGAACGUGCAGCUAGAUUCGAAGGUGAAUCAAGCAAAAAUCUCAAUGAAGAGUUUACAGUUUCCGUAAAGGACAUCAUUUGCAUCAUAAUAUCGGAUAUGAUAUUAUGAAUUACCCUGAGGGAUCAGUUAUUUUAUUGCCGAUCAAGACAAUAUACUAUCUCGAAGUUAUUUUACCGAUAUCAUGAUUUGAGACGAUAUGCCUAUCCAGAAGGCACCAAAAAGAUCACUACGUUGCUCGAUUGAAGAACUGUCUUCAUUUGGUACCAAGGAUGACAUCAAGAAGUAAUAUUCAUGCGUUGCGAGUCAAUAUUUAUGCAUCGCGAGUCAAUAUUCAUGCAUCGUGAGUCAAUAUUUAUGCAUCGCAGAAGAUAAAUGUGACUAAUGGGAUGAAUUUAACAAAAAAUAUUGAUUUAAAAUCAAAAUAAAAAUAAAAACAAAUAUUUGAAUGUAUUUAAUCAGCUAAGAAAAAAGUGUAAUUAUGAUGAACUAAUAAUAAAUCCUAAAUUUUGACAAAUAAGGAUAGUUAUCGAUAAACUUGUUUUAACUUAUAAAAAAUAUAUAUUUUGAACUAUUCAAAAAAUAAAUUAAAAAAUUACAAAUAUUGAAAAUGUUAGGCCAAAAUUUGGUGUAAAUAGUUGUCCCUUUCGUUGGAUGUAAUUGAUGAAAGAAAUCGUAGACAACAAAAAUUGACAAACACAAUUUUGACAAAAAUACAUGACCUUUAUAUAAUAGUGUGUUUAAAAUGUAGUGGAUGUUGGACCCGAACUUGCAUCUAAAAGGUUCCCCGUAGAGUUGCGUACUUUUUGAAGUAAUCAGCAUAUGUGGCUCCACUGAGUGGGCAUCCUCUGGGAUGUUCUAUAAAAACAAAGAUAAGACUUAUUAGUAUAGAUAAAACUAAAAGAACAGGGUAUCAUCUCUUAUGCUAAGAUGAAUGGAUAUGAUCAAUCGCUAAGAUGUAAAUACAUCUCCAUUGGUAGGACGAUUGAAGAUGAUCCGUCGGAAGGAUUUCAAUGUAUGUCCAUCGGUAGAACAAAUGACAAAAGAAAGAAAAAAAGUAAUAAUCCAGCAAUAGGAUUUUGCAUGUUUGUCCAUCGGUAAGACAAAUAAAAAAAAGAUGAUCUAUUGGUAGGGUUUUACAAGUAUGUCCAUCGGUAUGACGAAUGAAAACGAUGAUCCAUCGGUAGGAUUUCACAUGUAGUUUCAUCGGUAGGACGACUUAAAAAGAUUAUCCAUCGAUAGGAUGAAUAAAAACGUUACCCAUCGGUAGGAUUUGAAUGUGUAUCCAUUGAUAGAAUAAAUGAAAAAAGAAAGGAAAAAAAUAAUAAUCCAUCGGUAGGAUUUUUGAUGCUUUCCCAUCGGUAGGUCGAACAAAAAAAGUUGAUCCAUUGGUAGGAUUUUGCAUGUAUGUCAUCGGUAGGACGAAUGUAAAACAUAAUCCAUCAGAAGGAUUUGAAUGUAUGUCCAUAGGUAGAAAAAAUUGAAAAAGAAAGAAGUAAAAUAAUGAUCUAUCGGUAGGAUUUUGCAAUUUUGCCCAUUGGUAGGACGAAUAAAAAAAAGAUUAUCCAUCGCUAGGGUAAAUGAAAAGGUGACCCAUUAGUAGGAUCUUAAUGUAUGUCCAUCGAUAGGACGAAUGAAACGAUUAUAUAUGGGUAGGACAAAUGUAGAUAUCUUUCAACACAAGUUUCCACUGACUUGCAUGUUUAAAAGAUAGGGUUCACAUCCUUCACCACCUUAUAGAUGCGACUUAAAUGCUAAUAUAUUUACACAAAAGUUUCCAACGACUUGCAUGUUUAAAAGAUAGAGUGUACAUUCUUCACCUUCGAAUAUAUGCUACUUAAAUUCAAGUAUCUUUCAACGCAAGUUUCCACCGACUUGUACGUUGCAAAGAUAUGGUACACAUCCUUCACGAUUAAAUAAAUGCAACUUAAAUGCAAAUAUCUUUCAACGCAAGUUUUCACCGUCUUGAACGUUUAAAAUAUAGGGUUUACAUCCUUUACCACCGAAGAAAGUCCGACUUAAAUGCAAAUAUCUUGCAGCGCAAGUUUCUACCUACUUUAACAUUAAAAAGACAUGGUUCACAUCGUUCGCCACCGAAUAGAUGUUACUUAAAUGCAAAUAUCUUUCAACGCAAUUUUCCACUGACUUGAACGUUGAAAAUAUAUGGUGCACAUCCUUAACCUCCAAAUAGAUGCAACUUAAAUGCAAAUAUCUGUGAAAAUAAGUUUUCACCGACUUGAACGUUAACAAGAUAUGGUGCACAUCCUUCACCACCGAAUGGAUACGACUUAAAUGAAAAUUUGUUUCGACACAAGUUUCCACUGACUUGAACGUUGAAUAGAUAGGGUACACAACCUUCACCUAUGAAUAUAUGAGACUUAAAUGCAAUGGCCUUCUUGGCGAAUGAAAUAUGCGAAGACCGUUUCGGUAAAUGAAAAAUGAACGACUUUUUUGGUAAAUAAAAAAUUCUAUGACCCUUUUGGAAAACAAAAAUGUAGCGACCUUCUUGGUAAAAAAAUGUAUGACCCUUUUGGUGAAUAAAAAAUGCAUAACCUUUUUGUUAAAUUAAAAAAGCAAGGCCCUCUAGGCAAAUAAAAGUGCAAAUGAUGGAUGACCCCAUGAUUUCUCAGUAUAACGAGGUUGAUGAUUCGUGUGUCUUAAAAAUGUCGUCAUCUCGAUGAUUUCAUGUGUCAUUCUAUUUGAAUAGGAAAAUUUAGAAGACAUAAUGUCUUUUUAGCCAACAACAUGAUUAACAAACUUUAAGGAAAGCUUGACAAGAGAAUAUGUACAAAGUUCCUUUCACUUUGGCAAAAGUGAGCAAUCAUUAUUUUGAUCUUGAACGCUUCAUGCUCUUUGAAACUCAUAUUUUAUUGAAGAUAUGUAUGAGGAGUUGUUGACUUUCCAUGACAAUGCUGAAGAUUCGCAAGUUGACUUUGAGCUUCAAGCGCUAAAGGAUCAUUUGAAGUUGGCUAUAAAUCUUCUUGGAGUAUUUAUUGGAUUUUUCAAAGUCUUUCUCAAAAAUUCUUUCCCAAUUAAGACUUUUGGAAAAUAUCAAAAUGAUCUCCAAUCUUGACUUGCUGGAGAAAACACAUUUUUUGUGAAUUUUUGAAAUAUUCUCAAAAAUUCUGUCCUAGUGUUUUUUUGCAAGGAGAAAUAAAAAUUACACUUGGUAUAUGACAGAGCCAUCGUGGCACCUACAUAUCCUAUCGAUUGAGGAAUCAAGUCACAUGUAGUUUUAAUCCUGUAGAUGAUAUACUUUAAAUAAUCUGAGAGACUAUCAGUAGAAAAUGUACACUAUGAACAUGAUGAAAUAUGAUAAUAAUAUUCCAUAUGAUAUUUAAAGCAUAGAAAUGAAAGAAAUGUAACAUUUUUGGGACAGACAACCCCAUAAAGUAAAGUAGGACUCUCACACAUACAAGAUUAAUCUAAUAACACUUUUUUACAAAAAACAACUCAAAAAGGUAAUUUCUUCUUUUUUAAUGGAAAGACUCUAAAAAAGGGUUGAAAAAAUAUUAAAUAGUGGGUGCUUGCUCACUUUUUUUUCUUUUCUAUUUGAAAAAUAAAAAAUGUGAUGAAAUAGUCAAAUCUUGACUACAAUUUGUACCAACAGUUAGGAUUACUUGUAAAUCUCUCAUUUUUUUUCUCUUUUUCUAAUUAAGAUUUAAUUUGAGGUAAUUAUACAGCUUCAAGUGUUACCUCAAACAUACUUAAUGAUCAACAAGAUUAGUUCAUCUUACUUCAAACACAUAUUUUGAAUUGCACCAGUCCUCAUAAUUUAAGUUCCCUCACGAAAAAACUCGUCCUAUAUAACACAUAUUUGAAACAUUUAAUUUUAGGACAUUUUUUCAAAGUGAAGUCACACUCACAAAAAUGAUCAAUGCAUAUAACUGUGAUACCAUAUGCUGGACCUUAAUGUAAAUUCCCACUAAUUUGAAAAUGUUUGGAAUGAGAUCAUGUAGGAUUUUCAUUGGCUUCUAAUGUAGGAUCAUGUAUGGGUAGGAUAUUUAUUUGGGAUAAAAGUGAAAUUUCUCCUUGAGUGUCAAAUUGAAUCGUGCCCUUAAUGCUUGAUACGCCUUUGGUGUCAGAUCAUCUUCAUUGUCCUCCCCUCUUUCGACUUCUUUUAAAUUCUCAUUUUUGGAACUUUUUCCUUCUUUUUUUUUUCAUCCCCUUUGUUUUGACUUCUUUUGAGACCUUAUUUUUUUGGAGUUUUACUUUUAUUUCAGCCCUUUCCUUCGACUUCUUUUAAGUCCUCAUUUCUUGGAUCUUUUCUUUUAUUUCACUACUUUCUUUUGAAUUUUUCUCCUAUGUUGUUGGAGUAUUAUUUUUUUCCUUGUUUAUCACUGAACUUGCAGGGGUAUUUGUGUCUUUCUUUAUUUCUUUCAAUUUUUUUCUUUCGUUCUUUCUUUCCUCUUUUUUUUUUCAAUAGAAAUCUUUUUUUGCUUCUUUGACUUUGGGAUACUUGAUAUUUUUGCUUUUCAAAAUUUCCAACAUGGAUCUUGUCUUAUAUUUGCACAUUCUUGGUGCACUCAUGGAGGUUGGAUCAAGUGAGGGAUAGAGAAUGUAAGCACAUAAAAGGUUAAUGGCUAAAAUGUGGUUGUAUAAAGAAAGAUUUCAGGUUCAAAGUGGCAAAACUAGGGAUUAAUGUCAUUUGGUAGUCUUUGAAAGGACAAUAGGGUCAAAAAAAGGUUUACAAUCCUUUCUUAAAUUAAAAAUUACUACGGAUUUUGCCUCAAUAACAUUCAGGCUACGUUCUAAAUCAAAAGUGUGAUACAAUUGAAUUUUGAUCUAAAAUCUCACCACACAACACACAUGAAACAUAAGGUUUGUUUUAUACAUGCAAGUGAAUUUUAAAGAAUCACAAAAUUAUAAAUUAGAGGUACCAAAAGAAUCUAUGGUUUACCACAAAUUCAGUCCGCUCCAUCGUAUCAAAUACUUUAACACGCUCCUAACUACAUUGGUUCCAAAUAAGUUGAAUACAUUACUCUUACGAUAUAUACAAAAUGUUCUUUUAAAGAAUAAAUACCGAACCCAAAAAGGGUUGCCUACGUAUCUCGUUGAACUGAGAAUCAGGUGUGCGUAAUUCAUGCAGAUAAGGUUUUGAAAAUAUGCACACAAUAUUAUUCUAUUACUUUUUUUUUACUUUUGAGAAAAUGGAUACCGAACCCAAGAAGAGUUGCAUACGUAUUUCAUUAAGAUGAGAAUUAGGUGUGCGUAUUUCAUGCAGUUAUGCCUUUGAAAAUAUGCACAAAUUAUUCUAUUUUUUAACUUGACUAUAUAAGUGUAUGUUGGUCACAUUGAUGAUGUUAUUAUAGUGUAUUUGAUGACUUGAAGAUGAUAAUGUAUCACGAGUUAAAAUGAAGUGUGGUGUCCUGUCUUGGUUGACUUGUGUCCCUUACUUGAUGUAUAUAUGAUUAUGGAUAAGUGAUAUCUUGACUUAGGAUGUUAAAGGUCUUAUUCUUCAAUGUAUGAAUGAUAUGUGACCUUAAAUAAAGUUAAGAGGGUCUUUUAUGUGAACCUUGAACCAAGUGGUAAGGUUAUAUAUGUUGAAUUCAUAACCCGUCAUGGUUUCCUUCAAAGUAAAGGAAUUAUGGACUUGAGAUUAAUUCAGUGGAAAGGCAUAAUAUUAAUCCUUAGGAAAGACAUCAUGAUCUUCUUGUCGCCAUUGGAAGGUAGACUUAAGAGGACCUCUUUGGUAGGUUAAAUGUAAUAGGGUUAUGAACUUGUUAUGCAACCCUUUUAUGUGAACAUUAUGUGUGUAUUACUCUAUGAGAAGGAAGGCUAGCACUGAGUGAGUAUGGUAAGAGAAGUUCUAGUUAAGAAUGAGACUAUAUUACAAAGCAUUCCCUUCACAUUCCUUAACCAUGUGCCUACAUGGAAUGUGUUUUAGUUCUACCAUUGGCAAGUAGAACACCCUCAUUGGAUUAGGUUAGAAAUCCCGAUUCCAUGUCUUGAUAUCAUGGUCUAUGUCAGUUAUUGCCUAUUCUCCUCAUGUAGGAUACGUACUAGCAUUGGAGAAGUUCUUUGAAGUUUAGGUAGUGGUAUGAGACUCUAUCUAGACAUUGCAUAAAAGGCUUUGAAGGUGCUUGUUAGAGUCCAUAGGUCUUGUAUAAGACCAUUACUUGAAUGUCCUUUAUUUGAUGUAUGAGUCUUAAUGAACUAAUGACUUAUGUUAUCAAGUACAUUUAUAGAAUAAGUAAUUAUCUAGAGUAGUUAAGGGUUGUCUAGUUAAGGUGUGAAUGGGGCAUAGGAAUGGACAAUUUGUAUCUUACCUAGAUGAGUCUUAAGAAUGAUUCUAGUUAGAAAAGAUGUUGAUUAUGUAGACAUGGCCCGAACUUAGGAAGUCUUACUGAUUGUUUAGGUUGUCUUGAAGAGGUUAAUCAUGGACAUUAUCUUCUCUAUCUACCUAAGUAAGUAUUUUGAUAGCCUUUGAUGAGGAAAUGUCAUACUAUCUAUAUGUUGAUAUGUUGAUGUCUUGAAGUGUGUAUAUGACUUAUUAUAAGUGUUCUUGAGGGUCAUUUGAGUAAGCUUACUAUGGGUGUUCUCUCUUUGUGCUUCUUAAGUGGUUACUAGGAUAGAUUUUAGUGAGGAGAUUACAUGCUAGAAGAAGUUAAAAGUGAAGACAAAUUACUUUGCUGUAACAGUGAAGGACUUCAAUGUACUGUGAAGUGAAGCUACUAUAAAGUCCUUCCAAAAAUAUGUUAAAUUGCUUAAAUGUUAUCGUAUGAUUUUUGAAGUUGUUAAAUGUUGUUCUUAAUGAUUUUUAAAUGAAUACAUGCAUAUUUCUACUAAAUGUCCAAAUUGAUGAUUUUUAUGCAUUAUGCCAUACUUAGUACAUGUGGUUAUACUAAUCCAUGCUUUUAUUUAUCUCUAUAGUUGUUGGUAGGUGAGGAGCUUUUGGGAAGUGAAGAUUUGGACUGUAGCAUCGUUCAAGAGAAGUCGAAGUAUGUCCUUUUUUGAUUCGAGGGUAUAGAUGUCUUUUAUGUUUCUGAAUGAAGUAUUAUAAUAGACUAAGUAUUUCUAUAUUAGUAUUGUAUAUGGGUCAUGUUCCAUGUAUUCUUGUGUCUUAUGAUAAUUGAGAUUGAGACUUAGUAUUUCCUAUGACUUUAUAUGUAAGAGAUUUUUAAAGACUAUGAUAUGUUUUUUGGUAAUGUUUUAAAUUCCGCACUACUUUUCACAAUGUUUAUGCGAUGAAUGAUAUGUAAGGACUUGUGCAAGACCUUUGAGAGGUCAAGUACACCGGUUGAAAUCCGAGAUUGACCCUAACUUCUAGGGUGUGGUUUUGGGAUGUGACAAGCUUGGCGUCAGUGCAUAGGUUGUGAAAUUAUUAUUAGGAAUCGAAAAGUCGCAUCAAGUCAUGUCUAGUAUAUUUUGACCAUCGGUGUGAGUCGCGACACAUCUUUUGGCAACAGGCUAUAGAACGAUAGAGUUUUCCUUCUUUUCUACUCGUAUGUCGUGCCAUAGAGUAAAAGUUAUAAGUACUCUUUUCUUAUGGGUUUCAUUGUGUUUCUAAGAAGAUUAAUACGAGGAGGACACCGGCUUGGAGAGUUGAAGAGAAUGAGGUGCAAGAGGAGAUUCCUCCUCAAGUUGAGGAAGUUGAGAAAGUUUCUCAAGGUGAUCAAGGUGAUCGAGUCCCUAUUGUUGGAGGAGGUGAGGAGCCCCCAGAGUUGAAUAAUAGGGAUAUUAGUGAGGGUUUGCUUUCUUUAUCUAAAUCUAUGACUACUAAAGUGAAUUUGACUGUGGUGCCAAGGGAGAAUGUUGUGAAUGUCUGUUGGGUACCGACAGUUACUAUGGUUGUGGUAAUGAAGUACAUAAGGUGAGAGAUUCCUAUGGUUGCUUUUAGAUAAAGAGAGGGUAAGAAAGUUAUUCCUAGUAUUUCAAAAGAUGAUGAUCCAACAAAGAGGCAUUUCUAUGCACUCUGAACUAGAGGUUUAAAGACGGAUGAGAAUAGUGAUGAUGACGAGGCUAAGUCCUUGUUUUUCUCUUUUAGUGAUAUGAGUUCCUUCUAAGUUGGGGGAAUAUGUUAGAAUAUGGGAUAAAAUGAUAUCGAAGCAUGUUGUAUGUAUAUGGUGUUUAGGAGUUUUGUUGAAAUUGAAUUAAUUAACUUCUUGCAUAGUGUCUUUUAUGAAGUUAUGAUCAUGUUGUAAUAUGUGUUUACAUGAUGUUAUCUUUGAUAUUAACAUGUUCAUAUCAUGAGUUGAAUAAAAGUUGCAUUUCAAUUUUCCUAAAUUUUCACUGUCUAUUCACUGUAAAAAUUUUCAAAAUUGGACUAAUUGAUUCUUUGGUCUAAAUAUAUUGUAAUGUUGUUAUAACUAAUGUAUCUAUGAGUAUAAUAUUGAGCAUAAAAUAGGUUUUUCGUUAUUUGGAGUGAAGCAUAUGAGUUUUCUAGCAUGAAGAGUUAUUGAAUUAUUUUCUAGUUUCUUGUAGUGUUAAAAAUCUCUUAAUUAUGUGAAAUUGAUGUUUUCUUCUUGGUUAUGUGUUAUAUGAUAUGUUUAUGAUCUCCUAGUUAAAUCUCUAUUCUUGAAAGUGUUAAGAGAGUGACAAGUGUCAUUCGAGGACAAAUAUUGUCCAAGUGGGGGAGAAUGGAAGACCCCGAAAAUGACUAAGAUGAACUAGAACCUAACAUGUUGGUCAUUAUGUUCUAAGGUCAUAAAAAGAUCUAUUAUAUUGUAUUGAGGUAGUUUUUAAGCGUUUAGGUGCAUUGGAAGUUAAACAUCAAGGGAUGACUAAGACGUUGGACGACGAAGUCACCUAUGUGCCUUAUAUGUGGUUUUAUGAAUUUAUGUAUGAUUCAUGAGGUUUUACGGUUUUUAAAUGACUUAUUAUAGCAUAUAUAGGAAGUGUGUCAAGUUUCGUGGAGUUUGGAGGUCAAAUGUCGAACAACGUCCAUGACGUUCGAAAGUGUUUCCUUGAAAUGACCUUGUGUGUCUAAGCAUGUUUCAUUGAGUUUUACGUGUUCGUUUUGGAUAAAAUUUAUGUGAGAAGUUCUCAACACAUAUACUAUCUUGUUUGGGUUGGAAAACUCAAGGAAAACAUCCCCAAGGACCAUCCAGGGGUCCUUGAGGAAAGACCCAUGAUGUGUGGCCAAAACUGCCUAAGGCAAUACACUUACGGAUGACAAUUGACAACCAGUGGCCUGGUCGAUGCCCUCUAGGUGGUGGGCGUCAUUUGGUAAUUAGAAUGUGGAGCUAAUCUACCAAUUUAAAGUCUCUGAACCCAUCGACGGAGGACAGGGAGGCCCAUGUAUGGACCUAUGCCCCGUCGAUGGGCAACCGUCGAUCAUGGUCUGUGUUCCUGCGCAGGUCACUGUUAUGUGAGGGGUGAUAGUGUAAUUUCACCCCACUUAAAAAUAACAGUAUUGGCGUUUAUUUUAAAAAUGUAUAUAAGUAUUUAACACUUAAAAGAUUUCAUUCUUGCAAAUCAAAACCCCAAAUCCCUUAGAAUUCUCUCUAAGACUCUUUUGAAGUCCAAAGUCAAAGAGUACCUUGGUGUGACAAAUUGAGUGGAGAAUCCUCAUCAAAGUGAAGAAUUGGUUUCAUCAAGGUAAGGAUUGAUCCUUUAAACUCUCUUCAUCAAGAAUCUCCAAUUCUCAAUAUGUUUUUCUAAAGUUUUCAAGUUGGAUUGUCCAAUUUAAUAAUUCUACCAUGGGUUCUUGCAUUAAUGAUUUCUAAAAAUUGAAUAAUGAUUUAAUUGACAUUGUAUUUUUUAUUUUAACAUAAAUUACAUAAAAACCCAUGAAUUGGAUAAACCCUAGAUUUUGACUAAGUUAUGGGUUACUUGAUAUUGACCUAUUGUAUAUGAAUUAUGCUAUAGAUUUCCAUGGUCUUUCUAAUGAUGCAAUAAUUGUAUUCAAUUGAUAUCUAUGUUGUAUUAGAUUGAUGAAUUUACAUUAAAUUGAUGUAAUUUCAUUUAUUAUUAUAGUUUUUAUGUUGAUUUGAUGUUCAUGGCCAUGAGUAAGGGCCUUAUGUUAUUGAAUUGGAUGAUUUAUCAUCAAGUUGAGGUGUUGAUGAUGUUGUAAUUGUAAGAUGACCUAUUACCUUUAUGUUUAUGUUGUUUAUGCUUCAAUUAUAUUGUAAUUAUUAUGGUCCAUUUAUGGUGGCGGUGUUCUGUGUUUUACUUGCAAUUGACGUGGCCUUGUCGGUGUUACUUUAUGCAAUAUGAUAAUGAUGGCCUUGUGGGUACUACUUGAAGUAAUGUGGCUAUUUGUAUAGUUGAUUAUGUGACAAAUGAUAAUAUCUAUCUAUAUGUUAAACAAUGAGAAAGUAUAUGUGCUUUAUUGAUGAUAUGUAGGUGAUCAUGUUAGACUAUGACUUUGACCUUGUGUGUAUAGUCUUAGGGUUGAGUUUUGGUUAUUCCUACUUGAAUAUAUAAUUCUAUGUUGGUAACAUUGAUGAUGUUAUGAUAGUGUAUAGGAUGAACUGAAGAUGAUAUGGUUAAAUUUGUGUUUCUAGAAUGGCAUUUAUCAUGAGUUAAAGUGAAGUAUGUGGUGUAUUGUCUUGGUUGACUUGUGUUUGUUACUUGAUGUAUAUAUGAUUAUGGAUAGGUGAUGUAUUGAAUUAGGAUGUUAAAUCUAUUAGUCUUGAAAGUAUGAAUGAUAUGUGACCUUAAAUGAAGUUAAGAGGGUUUUCUAUGUGAAACCUUGAACCUAGUGGUAAGGUUAUGAAUGUUGAAGUCAUAAUCCGUAAUGGUAUCCUUCAAAGUAAAGGAAUGAUGGAAUUAAGGUUAUUUGGAUGUAAAGGCAUCAUAUUAAUCCUUAGGAAAGUCAUUAUGAGCUUUUUGUCAUCAUUGGAAGGUAGACUUGAGAGGACCCGUUUGGUAGGGUAAAUGUAAUAGGGUUAUGAACUUGUUAUGGAACCCUUUUAUAUGAACCUUAUGUGUGAAUUUUUCUAUGAGAACGAGUCUAGAACUGAGCGAGUAUGGUAAGGGAAGUAGUUCUUAAUAAGAAUGAUACUAGAUUACAAAGCACGCCCUUGAUAUUCCUUAACCAUGUGCCUACAUGGGAUGUGUCUAAAAUCUACCAUUGGCAAGUAGAGCACCCUCACCGAAUUAGGUUAGAACUCCAGAUUCAUGUCUUGCUAUCAUGGUCUAUGUCAUAUAUUGCCUAUUAUCAUCAUGUGGGAUACUUACUAGCAUUAGAGAAGUUCUUUGAAGUUUAGGUAGUGGUAUGGGAGACAUAACACAAUAGGCUUUGAAGGUGUUAGUUAGAGUCCCUAGGUCUUGUCUAAGACUAUUACUUGAAUGUCCUUUAUGUGAUGUAUGAGUCUUAAUGAAUUAAUGAUUUAUGUUAUGAAGUAUGUAAAUGGAACAAGUACUUCUCUAGAGUAGUUAAGGGUUGUGUAUUUAAGGUGUGAAGGAGCUAUAGGAAUGAUCACCUCGUAUCUUACCUAGAUGACACUUAUGAAUGAAUCUAGUUAGGGAAGAUGUUGAUUAUGUGGACAUGAUCCGAACUUAGGAUAUCUUAUGUAUUAUUUUGGUUGUCUUGAAUAGGCCAAUCACGGACAUUAUCUUCUUGAUAUACUUAAGUAAGUCCUUUGAUAGCCUUUGAUGUGGAAAUGUCAUAUUAUAUAUAUGUUGAUAUGUUUGAUGUCUUAAAAUGUAUGUGUACUUAUUAUAAGUGUUUUUGAGGGUCAUUUAGGUAUGCUUAGGGAGGUUUUAUGGGCGGUCUCUCAUUGUGUUGCUUAAGUGGGUCUUAGGAUAGCUUUUAGUGAGACAUGCUUGACGAAGUUAAAAGUGAAUAAAAAGUACUUCACUGUAAUGGUGAAGGACUUCAUUGUACAGUGAAGCAAAGCUAUUGUAAAGUGCUUCCAAAAAUAUGUUAAAUUGCUUAAAUUUUAUCUUAUGAGUUUCUAAGUUGUUAAAUGCUGUUCUUAUGAAUAUAAUAUUAUUUUUAAAUGAAAAGAUGCAUAUUUCUACUGAAUAUUCAUUUUCAUGAUUUUUAUGCAUUAUGUCAUACUUAGUACAUGUGGUUGUACUAGCUUUUAUCUAUCUUUAUAGUUGUUGGUAGGUGAGGAGCUUUUAGGAUGUGAAGACUUGGACCGUAACAUUGUUCAAGAGAGUCCGAAGUAUGUCCUUAUUUGAUUCGAGGGCAUAGAUGUCUUUUAUGUUUCUUAAUAAAGUAUAGUAAUAGACUAAGUAUUUUUUUAUUAGUAUUGUAUAUGGGCCGUGUCCUAAGUAUUCUUGUAUCUUAAGAUUGAUGAGAUGUAUAUGCUAUGACUUUAUAUGGAAGAGAUUUUUAAAUACUAUGAUAUGUUUUGUGAAAACUUUUAAUUCCAAACUAGUUUUCACUAUGUUUAUGCGAUUAAUGGUAUGUAAGGGCUUGUACAAGACCUCUGAGAGGUCAAGUACACCGAUUUCAAUCUGAGAUUGCCCCUAACUUCUAGGUUGUGGUUUCUAGAUAUGAAAAGAAUCCAUCAAAGGAGGACCCAAAGGAUGUCGACUCACUGGCACGGAAAUGUCAAUUGACUAAAUCAAACAACACCCCGUUUGUUGACAAACAGCCCGUUGUUGGUGAAGUCGUCAAUCAACACUUAUCCUGGGGAAUGCUAGGCGAAGGAACACCCAAAACCCAAUCGACGGAAGCCACAGACGUUCCGUUGAUGGAACUACUCGGCAUCGAUGGUGGCCAUUGAUGCAUGCUUUACCAGGCUGCGUAGCGACUGUUUUAUUUAAGGGGUGAAUGGGAAAUUUACCCCACGUCAUAACCUGACCCUAUUUUGUUUAUUUUAUUAUUUAUUGGUGUAUUUAAAUGAUAAAUAACAUGAUCAAUCCGUUCUCAAUUCAUUCUACAAAAUAUUAGACUUCCCCUCCAAAACCAUUUCUCUCUAGAAGCCUCAUUGAAGGUGAAACUCAAGAAUAGCUUGGAGCUUGGAUUUACAUGGAAUCAUCAUCAUUUUUAUAGGGUUCUUCUAAAUAAAGGUACGGUAAUCCUUCAUAUCUAGUUAUCCUUUCAUCUAGAGAGUUAAUCUCAAUGUUUUCAAAGAGAUUUCAUGAUCAAAUUCUUCUUCUUCAAUCUUGCCAUGCGUUCUUUCUCAAAAAGUUUUCAAAUGAUUAAUCAUGAUGAUUUUAUGAUAAUGUAUUGGUUUUAAUGUGAAAUUAAGUUCAAUUGCAUUAUGAACCCAUGUCCCUUCCCAAACUUGAUUUAGCCUAUGCAUGGGCAUCGUGAUCGGUGCUUGUUGUUGGUGGAUUUAUGAUUCUAUUAUGUUGAAAUUCUCAUGUAUACAGUUAGUUGAUGAAUGAUCCAUUUGGAUCAGUCUAUGAACAUUUUAAGAAAGCUAGCUCAGAUAUCUAGGUGUUCACUGUAACAUUGCCUUUGUAAUGAAUGAAUUUCAAAUUCGAUUAUGUUAUUAUGAUUGUAGCUAAUGACUUAGGUUAAUAUAAUUGUUGAAUUGUGAGUAUAAAUAAUUUAUGAAAGUAACGAAGUGUUAAUAUGAAUUGAUCUAGGUUCAUUAGCCUAUUGAUUGAUAAUGCUAUGCAGGUGAUGUGAUCUCGAUUUUAGGUUAGAUAAAGCAUGACUCCUUUUGAUUAAUGAUCUCUUUAGAAACUGCCUAACAAUUAUAUUAUUGUUAAAUAUGAUUGAUGAUCAAGGUUUUACGGAAUUAGUAGGAUUGCCUAUUUCCUCUAUUCUCUAUUGAAUUUAUUGUUUAAUGCCUAUGUUGGUAUCUUGAUCUUGUAGGGAAUUAACUAUGAUUUCGUUUAUGUUAAUGUAUAUGUAGAUACUACCCUUUACUGAUACAAUUGGUGAAAUAUGAUUAAUGAUCCAUGCAAGUGAAAUUUGUUCAUGGCCUAUCUCCUUCUACCUUCUAGUAUGUUAGUGAUGUGUUGUACUAGUUUGUAGCAUGUCCUCAUAGUAGCUUAUGCAUGAGUUCGUAUAUGAUUAUUGUACUUUAGAUACUUCCCUACACUUGAAUUAUUGAUGAAAUAGUAGUAAUGGUCAAUGAUGACCAAAGUCUAAACGAUUGAUAAGAAUUGCUCUAUUCUUCUACUUCUCUACUUCUCUAUAAUAUUGUUGAUAGAAAUUGCCUUGUAUGACAUUGUGUGGUAUGGUCAAGUUAUGGUGGCGGAUUUCAAUUUAUUAUCAAUAUAUAUGUGAUAUGAUCAUGGCCUUGAAGGCAAAUUACUAUGAACGUGUGUUGGUGAUGAAUCACCCUAUGUGAAGCUUAUGCCUAGUUUCCUAUUAUUACUAUGAUCUUGGUUGUGUUGCUAAUUUCAAGAGCAUGUAAAUGGUUAUAAAAAGUUUCUGUGUACUUGCUUCCUAUGAUGAGGUUCUAUAAUAAUCUAUGUGAAGUAAAGCUAAAAUAGGUUUAUGAAGACUAGAGCUUACUGUAAGAAUGUUGUAAGUCUUGAAUAAAUGAGUCUUAAUCUAUGCUAACCAUUCUAUGAUGUGGGUGAUGCAUCAUUCACUAGGAUGACUUCAUCGGUGUACUAGAAUGGAAAAGGGUCCUUGUCUAUGCAUUGCACAUGUAUACCUUGAUAGGAUAGUUCCUAGGUUGGUCUUCCAAGUACAUGCAUAGGAUUGUAUGAACAUGUUAUGAAUAUGACUUACAUGAUAUGAUGUUAAGUAUAUGAUAUGAUGAAAUAUGAAUGUGCAUGUGUUUAUACGAAAGGAUUGCUCAUAUAGUUAUACCUAUGGACUUGUGCAUUGAUAUAUGAACAUGUGUGACAUUUAUUUGUUAUGUGAAAGGUUUGCUCACAUACAAGUAAACACAUACACGUGUAUGAAGAUCUAGUCAAUAGAGGGGCCUUGAAAAGUGUGCUCAUGUGUACCCUAAAACUAAAUAGGUGCUUGAAAAUGCAAUAAGCAUAUAAGGUAUUAAUGUACUAAUCCUAUGAUAUAUGAAUUAAUGUAAUAAAGACUUUUCAAUAAAGGGAACUUAGCUUAGCACCGAGUGAACUUGACAAUGAGAGGUGUUCGCUUCCCUUGGAGGAAAAUUCACCAUUGGUUUCUCAUAGAGUGUUGACUUCACUUGGAGGAAGAUUCACCACUGGGUUCCCAUAAGGUUUAAAUUCCCUUAGAGGAAUAUUCACCUAUGGUACCACAUGAGGUGGCGGCUUCACUUUGGGGAAGGCUCACCCAUGGUCUCUCAUGAGAUCAGGCUCCAAUGCUUAUGAACAUGUAGAGGGUCAUGUAUAUCUCUUAGUUCCAUUAACUAUGCUUGAUAAUAGGAUCUAUCAAGUGAAUUCACUUAGCAUGCUAGCAUGUGUCAAUGCUCUACUUUUUCUAGGUAAGAGCACCUUCUAUUGGUGUAAGACUCUACAACACCAAAUUCCAUGUAGCACCCAUGGUAUUAGUGUCGAUUAAGGCAAUAAUUUCAUUAAAGUAAAAUUGAAAAUCGAAGUAAAAUAAGGACUCUAACUAGGAUAACCUAAGGGUAGUUGCUUACUGUAGGUUGGUUUCAUAUCCAGGGAGCACCCCUUAGAAGUAACAUGGAAUAUUUGACCUCUCGGAGGUCUUAUACAAGCCCAUAAUUAUCAUUCAUCGCAUUAUCACUGUAAAUUUAGUGGAAAAUUUGAAACUCUCUUAACACAUCAUAUGCUAGUACAUUAAUUCAUAGAUAUAUAUAAAAUAUCAUAUUACAUACUCAUACUAUAAGUCUGUUUGGCAUCUUAGACUCAACAACGUUAGAAUACAUUAGGGACACGACCCUUAAAACAUAAUACAUAAGUAUACAACUUAUAAAACUUUACAGUAAACAUAAGUAGGGAAUCCUUGGAACAUAAUGACCCCUUUCCUUAAGCUUGGGCAUCACAUAACAAUCUCCUCAAUCGUAUAUACAUCCUAUAAGAAUCCAUAACUUACAGUUUGUGUUAAAAGUUUACAAGAAUAGGAUUACUACAAGAAUGACAAAAUAUGGCAACCAUGCAAAAAUAUACAUUAAAAAGGGAUAUUUUCUUGAAAUCGUACUUCAUACCUUUUUGAGUAAAUCUUUAUAAAACCUUUAGACAAUUGCAUUUAUAUCAUUCACUUAAUUAAUAUAGACGUAUUCAAAGGCCAAACAUCAUAGAAAAACACAUAUACAAUUCAAGUCAUUUUUGAGUCACAUUACAGUAAGCACUUUUUUAUACAGUGAGUAUUUUCCUUUCUUAGUAAACUUCUUUCCGUUUACUCAUUAAUCUCCCAAGUAACCCUCUUGUGAUACUUGGUGCAAUGCAUCACCUUAAGGUAACAGGAAAGAAUACAUACAACCUACAUAAGCCAACACAUAUAAUCAUAUAAGCAUAAUAUAUAAAAGAUACAUUUAUGUCAAGACUCUAUUGGCUUUAUAGUAAGUUACAUCAAUUUGCACAUAUAUUGACAUCACUUCACAUAAAUCAUUAUAAGACCUUGUUCAUGACCCCAAUCCUAGUCUUCUAGUGCAAUGUACAUGUGAAGCCCCACAACCCCAUACAUAGUUAGUAAAACCUUCAUGAGACCACAAACAUUAUCAUUCAUUCAUUCAUCAACAUACUAAGUGAAGACAACCUCAUUCAGGUGAACAAUCUUCAUCAUAUAGUCCUUACUACGCAAAUAGUUUAUAUAAGAAUAAGACCACAUCACAUAGACUCAUACCAUGCACAUCUUCAUGACAAGUAGACAAAUACUACCAUGACAUGCAUAAAGACAUAACCAUGCACAUUAGAACACCUUCCUAGAACUUCCUAAGGAUCUACUUUUGCAAUGUAUAGAUGAAUUUAUUACUUCCACCUAUACUAAGUAACCUCCAUUAUGUCAUCCUAGUUGGGGUCCUAGUCAUUACUUCCAUUGUCCAUUUUUCUUUAGAGAAACAAUAGCCUUAAAUGACAGUAAGACCAUGGGUGCUAAACAUGGAAUUUGGUGUUGUAGAGUCUUACACCAAUGCAAGGUGUUCUUACCUAGCCAAGGUAGAACAUUAACACAUGCUAGCAUUUUAGUUGAUAUUACAUUGGUAGAUUCUAUGUGUAAAAUAUAGUUUAUGGAACUUGGGGACAUCAUUGAAACAUCAACUCUAACACCCUUUUGGGUCAUGAGGCUAUCCACUCUGUGAGGACUAUGGUGACCUACCUUUGUAUAAUAGGAAGGGACACCCCUCAUUUUCAAGUUCACUCAGUGCUAAGCUGAGUUCCUUUCUAUUCAAAUACUUCAUUAACAUUACUUUAUAAAAUAUAGGCUUAGGAAAUUCAUCCCCUCAUAUGCUUAGCUCAUAGGUUAUACAUGAGAAUUCAUCAACCUAAAUCAUGUGAGAAACCCUUUCACAUGGAAAUAUCAUAUAUCAUUAGCACUAUCUAAUUUAGGAUAAACUUGAGCACACCUUUCAAGGUUUGUCUAUUGAGUAGAUCAUCAUUCAUGUGUGUGUAUACAUAUAUGUGAGCAGACCUUUCACAUAGCACAUUGAGGUCACACAAGUUCAUACAUCAAUCCGAUAUGUAUAACUAUAUGAGAAAUCCAUUCAUAUAAAUCCACUAAGACACUAUGAACAUUCAUACUUCACCAUAUCAUAUAAAUCAUAUUCAUAAUAUGCUCAUACAUUCAUUUUCAUGUACAUAGAAACCUAAACUAGAAACUAUCCUAUCAAGGCAUACAUGUACAAUGCAUAGGCAAAGUCCCAUACCCUUGCCCAUACUAGUACACCUAUCAAGUAAUCCUAGUUAAGGAAACACAUACAAUAAAUUCAUAGAUAUCAUCUUGACAUGCAUAGUAGUAUACACUAGUGAAUAUUAGAACUACCUUUUAUUUAGACACCAUGACUUAUACUACUUGUAACCAUUCAUAAUGUGUAAGUGUGUGUACAUUGGUCAACAUGAUCAUACAAUGGCUAUAACAUCUUGAGGCAGCCACCCUCUUAAGACCAUAAUGCACAACAAAGCAUAUACCACACAACGCCAUUUAAUAUAGGAGGCAAGUCAUUCUUCACAUUACAUUCAGGAUUCCUAACCUUACAUAUUCACACAUUCACAUAAGGGUACAUGGUAGGGUUUAUCAAUACUUCAUACUUCAAUAAUUACAUCACCUACACAUGAACUUAUCAUAACCAUUUACAUGCUCAUAAAAAUAGUAGCAUAACCUAGAUUUAAAACUAAAGUAGAAGACUAGGCACAAGUUACACAUAAGGUGAUCAUCAUAACCACUCAUUCAUAUAUUCAUCAAUUUUCCUUCAAAUAUAUGGUAAACACAUAUAUAAUAAAAAUAAAUUAAACACCGCCACCAUAAGUGGACCGUAAUGCACAAUGACAUACAAGGCUUCAUCAACAUUACAAUAAUGAAGAAGAAGAGAAGAGUCAUUCUUACCAAUUCAUCAAUCUUUGAUCAUCAUUGAUCAAUACACCUUUUUAAUAAUUAAUACAUUAUAGGUAAGGAUCUAUAUGUACUUAAAUAAUAAAAGAAACCACCUACAGGUCGUUACAAGAUCAUGAUACAACUAGUGCACUAUUUCACAGAUAUGGUAGAAACUAAAGAGUUAUAGAUCAUCAAUUAACUUCUCUAGUUUUGCUCAGCAAUCAUCAUAUAUCAUUAAUAUAUAUUUAGGUAAGUAUCUAUAUAGAUAGGAACCAAGUCCUAAAAAUGCUUUAUUCAUCUUAGGAUAUAGAUCACAACAUAUACAUUACUCUAUAAAUUUCUAUAGGAUAGAAAGACUAAAAUCAAUCUUUGCAAAUUCUAUUUUUAUCUGUUCAUAUUGAUCAAUUUUACUUUAUUAUCAUCAUGUUACACAUAUAGGAAGUAGCUAAGAAAAUUUACCAUAAUCAAAUCACUUAACAAUCAUCCUAACAUCAAGAUCACAAGUUACUACUUGAUAGCUUAGAAGCACCUAGAUCGAUUUAUACCAAGCCUUUUUUAUUUUGAUCAUAUCAUAUUUAUACUCAAAAUUCAAUCAACUUAUUAACCUAAGGAGUUAUCUACAAGAACCACAACUUAAUCGAAUCCCACUAUUAUUCAUUAAAAUGUCCAUAUUACAGUGAUCACAUAAAGGCAUGUCUUAUUCUUGUUCAAAUCUUCAUAUCUUUAUCCUCAGGGAUCCAUUAUCACAUAUUCAUCAUUAAUUCGUGUAAAUAAUAGUAUAUAUAGAUAAUUCAAUGUAAGAGAAUCGCAAUUCAACCAUUAACAAGCCAUGAUCACAAUGCCCAUGCAAGGGCUUAAACAAUUUUGGGAAGGGACAUGGGUCAUAAUGCAAUUGAAUUAAAAAUCAUGUUAAAACCAAGACAUUAACAUCAAUUCAUAACGAUUAAGCCAUUAAAACAUUUUUAAAAGGAACCCAUGUCUAGAUUGAGAAUGAACUUUGAUAAUGAAACUUCUUUGAAAAACAUUGAGAUUAACUCUGAAAUUGAAAGGUAAAUGAGAGAUGAAGAAUCACCAUAUCUUUAUAUUCUUGAAAACCUUCAAAACAUUAUGAAGAAAGCAUUGGAAUCCAAGCUCUAAUUAGUUCUUGAGCUUGACCAACAAUAGACAUUUCUAGGGAGAAGCUUUGUGGAGGGAAAUUCUAAUUUGUGUAGAAGGGAUUAGGAAUGAGUUGUCACGUGUUUAAUCCCUUAAGUACACCCAAAAAUCACAAAAUAAACUGAUUAGGGUCUGUCACGACCUGAAACCACCCCCUAAAAGUUAACGACAACCCUUGUAUUGUGACCGGGCGUACUUGACCCUUAGAAAUCUUGUAAAAGCCCUUUACUAUCGGUCAUCAUAUAUCACAUGAAAAGUAGUGCGGAAAUUUAAAAAAUUUCACGAAUAAUUAAUAAAAGACAAUAUUUCAUAAAUACUUAGAGAAUCUCAUUGUCACAAGCCAACUUCAAGACACGACAUAAUAUCUUAGGCGAUGGCCCUCUACAAUAAAGUAAAAUGCAUAACAAGUCUUUAAAUAAAAACUAAGCAAAUGACUAUGCCCUCGAAUAUAUGAGGACAUACUUUGCCUUCAGAGAAACUUUCCCAAGCUCUUCCCCCUAGCCUUGAAACCUUUAAAAGCUUCCAACCGAUAAUUAUAUAGUAUAGAAAAGUAUAGGGUUAGUACAAAAACAAUGUACUAAGUAUGGCAUAUGCAAAAACAUCUAAAAAGGGACAUUUUAGUAAAUUAGCUUUUCAUGCAAUUUAAGUAAAACAUUAAUGAAUACAAAGGUAAAACAUCAUACUAACCAUCAUUAACAACUGAGAUAAGAAUUCCCAUUUUUAAGCCAUAAAGAAACAUUACAGUAGCCUUGUCAAAACUUACAAUAAACCAACUUGACCUUCACAGUGAACUUCUUAAGCAUUUAGAGUAAAUACAUUUGAACAUUGAAUAUGAAUCAUUUAAAGCAUUGACAAUAAAUUCAACUUGAGCAAUUACAAUGAACUAUCAUACACUAAAUGAGUGAACUUCCAAGGCCAAGCGAAAAAUAAAGUGAACUCAUAUUCCUUAAGAGUUUCCCUACCGCAGAAUUAUCUGAAGUCUCACAAAGGUAAGAUAUGAAGGAAGUAUGCAUAUGCCUUCUACAAUACACACCAAAGCAACCCUCAAGACUACCCCUUUUGGCUUACUUAACUCGGCAUAAACAAGCCACUUAAUCAAUGGCAAGACAUUAAAAGAUACCCAACAAACCACCAAAGUCUUCCCUUUCGGAAUGCCUACUUAGUGAAAUUAGUAGAUGGCGUCCCAUACCACCACCUACCCUAAGUAGCACAUUCUUUUAGAAGGUUUGGCUCCAAGUCUUCCCUUUUGAAAGGUCCUACUUAGUGCAAUAGAUAGAUAGCAUUCCAUACCACCACCUACCCUAAGUAGUACGUUCUUUUAGAAGACUUAGUUCAUUCACUUUAAAUAAGUCUCACCGAGACUCCCCUUUCGAAUUGCCGACCUAGUGAAAUGGAUAAAUAGUGUCCCAUUCCACUACGCACACUAAGUAGAACACCCCUUUGAAAGACUUAGCAUGUUAAUUUCUUUUGUGGGAGUUAUCUUAACCGAUAUAGACCAUGAGAGCUAGACAUCGAAUCCCGAUAUAAACCUCUAUCACAUGAGGGAUCCUCACUUGCCUAGACUGAGGUCAUUCUCUUAGCAUUUACAUGGGUUUUCCAAUAGCUACACCUAUGUGGGCACAUAGUUAAGGGAUAAGGAGAUUGCUACUAAGUAACUCAUUCUAUAUUAACGAGGAGUACUCAUCUCAAGAGGUACAUUGGGAUACAACAUCUCAAUUCACGAAGUGUAAUCCACCUCUCCUUCAUAUCCCCUCGAUGCUAGGCAUAACUUCCCAUGGAUUCUCAACCUUAUAGACUAUAGCUUAAGGAUAACUAGUGAACACCACAUUUCCAAUCACGAAGAGUAUUCAUCCUCCAACCUAUUUUAGAAAGCUCAUGGGAUAUAGUGGGGUUUCUACUAAAGACUUCAUCUCAACUCAUGAAGAGUGUUCACCCAAAAAUCCCCUUUAGGACUUAACUUAGCUUCAUUCAGUCAUUCAAGUGUGAGUGUGUGUGUACAUGUGAGCACACAUUGCACAUAAGCUUCACUUCAUUCUUAUUUAACUUUUAUACAUGCUUAUACAUUCAUUCAUCACAUCACACUUUACAUACUUCAUAUAAUCAUAUAUUUCCUUUAGACAUAAUCCUUAACAUACUUCUCUAACAAGCUUCAUAAAAAACUGAACAAGAAUAUCUUCAUUUAAGCAUACUCUCUAGCCUAUUUCGUAUAAUAGCUUCAUAAGGCACAUUUAACAAGAAUAACAUACUUUUCAUCUUACUUCACAUAACAAGCCUUCAUAGCCUCAUUCUCAAAAAACUAGUAACUUUACAUUCAUACAAUCCAAGUAAACACCGCCACCAAGAAGGUGGACCAUACCACUCAAGAGAAUAUCAAAAAUUAAAGCUAAAAAACAUAACCAACUUAUCCUUCAAUCCAAGUUUUCAUAACCUAUAAAAUUUUACUCUAUAUUUAAUCAAAAUAAAUCCCCUUGGGCAGUAUCUAAACAACAAUAACCUCAAUAAUAAACCAAAGCUCAAAGACUACGAAUUCAUGCUCAUAUAACCCAUUUCUUAAACCAACAUUUAAAGAAAAGCUUUAACAUGAUUUCAUUGAGUUUUUAACCUUAAAAUCAUCAAAUAACAUUAGGAAUAACAUUAUUAAGUCAUUAAAAACGUUUUCAUGCAAGACCCAUAUUUAGAUUAGAAGAUAGUAGAAACUAGGGUUGAAAAUCCAUUUCGAAAUUAGUUUGAAGGGGAUCCUUAAAUGAAACAGAUUUCAAGGGUGGAUACCAUACCUCAAAUUGAAGAAAUACCAAAGGUUUUUUUAUUAAGAAACAACCAUCAACAUCCCUCCUAGCAUUUCUUGACCUCUAGCUUCUGUGGAGACUUGAGAGAGUCUUCUAAGGGGUUUUUUUUAGGAAGAGGGGUCUAAAAUGGGGUCUUAGGGUUUAGAAAACUUUAAUAUACCUAAUAAACACUAAAAUUAUACACCUAGGGUCUUAAAAUACUUGGGGUUUUUUACAUAACACACCCCAAGUUGACAGCAACUUCACAGAUUUGCAGGCCUCACAGACAAACCUUCACCAACGGACCAUCGUAGAGCCAACAGACCAUUGAUAGGGUCUCAUUGGUGGAUACUUAGCUCCAAAUGGAGCAUGGAAAACUGAAAUCACUGGUCUAAUCGACACCCUAGGUCGAUGGACCGUUUAGCGACCAACGUACCGUCGUUGGGGUUGUCGAUGGCCAAUGCUUUUUGGCAGAUUUUUCCCAAGUCUUGGGUCCUUCAUCUAGGGCCCUUGUGUGUCCUAGGUGGGGUCGUUCCCGAAUUUCAAACCCCUAAACGAAUUAGUCUAGCUCUUAGGAACAUCCAAUGCAAGUUUCAAGUAAAAUGUACACGUAAAACUCGUCUAAACAUAACAAGACACACUAGUACAUUCUAAGGCAUACUUUCCGAACGUCAUGGGCGUUCUUGGUCGAUUGAACUCCAAAAUUAACCAAACUUCACAUACUGCCUAAGGACACUAAACUAAAUUAGUUUAACUUAAAAUCAACUUAAGAAACAAACACGAGGCUCUAGUUCACCUUAGUUCGUUUUGGGGCGUUACAGAGUCAUGUUAGGAUGUGGAGUGAUUUUUCCAUUCACCCCUUGGCAUCAGUUGCAGGCCACCAUCGACGGGCACCAUCGAUGGCCAGUAGGUCCAUCAACAGGCCAUCUAUGGCUUCAGUCGAUUGGACCUUGUUCUGUUCUUGGGUUGAGCCUUGCCCAGGCUAAGUUUCCAUUGAUGAGAACCUACCAACAGUCCGUUGGUCAACCAACUGGGCGUUGUUUUCCUCAUCAAGGCAGUGUCUCGACAGCCCUUGGGUCCUUCUUGUGGGCCUUUUUGCUGGGCCAUUGAAAAGUUGUACCUAGAAGUUACCAACGUAAAUAUAAACCUUGAAAAGUUGUACACAUCCCACAUCAAUUUAACCUACAACAAAUACCCGCAUAUCGUCCAAACAUGAAAUGCCCUAUCAAGACACACAUGAACAUCUCAAGGGUUAACUUUUAAAUGUCUUGGACGAUCUUGGACAUUUGACCUCCAAACUUCACGUAACUCCCUAUACUACCUAUAAACGUCAUUAGAAAUCAUUUUAAUGCUUUAUAAUCUCAUUUCAUACAAUUUAUAAGAACACAUAGACACAUGGGACACAUAGGUGAUUAGUCGUUGAAUGUCUUGUUUAUCCCUUGACCUUUUACUUCCAUAUAACCUCAAACUUUUCAUACUUCCUCUAAGCCAUAUUAUAAGUCAUUUUAGAAUCUUAUAACCUUAAGACAAACAUGUUAUGCUUUAUACACCCUAACUCAUUUUGGGGGUCUUCCAAUAUUCCCCACUUAGGAGCAUUCGUCCUCGAAUGACACUUAGAAAACUUUAAUCACUACAAGGACUUCAAUGCAUCAAACAAAAAGUCUCUUAUAAUUUUUAUUGGAGGAAUAUAGUUCUCCUAGCUAUAACAUAGUCAUUACACUUCAAUUCACUAAGAGCUCAUCUUGCAACUAUUCUUUUAAGUCCGCUUAGGUAGAUUUCAACAACACUCAAGAAACAAUUCGGCACUCAUACUUCAAUGCACAUAGACAUAAGUUAAUUGAAUCAAUAAAGAUCUUUAUUAGUUAUAACUAGUGCCAUGAAGGUCAUACUCAACCAUAUCAUGCUUAGUGGUGUCCAUGGAGGAAUUUCCUUCUCCUUACCACACUUACAUGAAUCAUUUCACACCUAAGAAAAAUACAAGGUAAAUUUCCUUUUUUCAAUGAUAAAUUCUAAACUUAUAAACCAAGGUAUGUUCAUGUUUACUUUCUAGUGAAUUCAAAAUGGUAGGUCACACCAAGCACAUCACAACAAAUAGGAAGAGAUUUCACAAAAUUUUAAUUUCUAACAUAACACUAGCUUCAUAGUAAGAAUCAUUCGAGAAAAUAACACAAAUCAUAGGCACACACAUGACCACUUCGUUAAACAUGAUUUCACUUUUCAAAAGUGGAUUUACAAUCAUGCUUCCCAAAUCAUAAAGGUCACAUAGUUUUAAAGAGACUCAACACUUUUCGUUUUAAAGAUACUCAAUUUUCCAUUAUAACGCUAAACAUUACACCUCACAAAUGAUUGAUUACAUCAAUGUUUCUUGUCUUGUCUCAUGAAGUCAAAUGCACAAGUAGCAUAUCAAGAUGCAAAUCAACAUGAAAAACAUGGAUUUUUAUCAAAAUUUCCCUUCAUGCACCUUAAAAUCUUAAAAAUAUCCUUAAGUUAAUGCAAACAAGUCCAUACCAAACAUAUAAAGUUCAUGCAAUUCAUACUUUAAUGCAACAUUUUGUUCAUGAACAAGAUUACCAAAAAGUAUUAGAUUCAAAUUCAAGUAAGAAUAGAAGGACAAGGUAGAAAAAAUAUCUACAACUUUACUACUCUAUCACCAUCCCCCGCUUAGGGUAGACCCUAUUAAGAGCAACUUAACACAACCUUAAGAGGAUCUUAACUUAACAACUUUGAUUUUCAUCACAUAAAAGUGAUUACCACUUUAAAAGGAUUUACAGUAGGUUAACAUAGGAACACCAAGGUAUUCCAAGCCUUGUCACAUAUGCAAAUUGUCCCCCAAACAUUCAAGUUAGAUCAUACUAUUUAAGUACAUAAGUUCUUCAACAAUACAAUCGACACCAAGGUCAUACAUCAUUAAUGGAAACAAUAGAAGAGACUUAGCCUUAAGGACUCUUUCUUUUCUUUCAACAUUAAAGUAAGGUAAUUUAUAGGUCAAUCAAGCCCACAUCAUCAUCCUACAAGGACAAGAAUACUAAACCCACAUCAUCAUCCUACAAGGACAAGAAUACUAACCCUCAAUUCCAGGGGAAACGUCAAUGGCACAACAUCAAGGAACGCACAACACAAUAAGAAGUUUAGAAACAAAUCUACAACUCAUCAUGCUAUAAGACUCUCAUUAUUUAUUCAAAAUAGCAAAUCUUUUUUUUACAUUAAUUAUCAUAUUCAUAUGUAUCAAUUCUAUAAACAUUUCAACAACUUCCAAUCAAAGAACAAUUUUUUCAAUUCCCCAAAUAUCUUAUAGUAAGCUGCCAAGCAUUACAAUGAACAUGGUUCAAAAUUCCAAAAACACAACAUUUAGGCAAUUGAUACGAAAAGCAUGAAAAUAUGAGAUACAAAACUUUACCACCUCAUCCUACAUAAUCAUGGAUACUACCUUCACCCCUAGGGUCAAGUCUAUACAAAGAACUACAAUCCAUGUAAAGUAAUCUUGAAGGUUCACACAUAUAACAAAGGAAAUAUUUGAUCCAUUUACGAUAUCUUAGGCAACAUGUGCCAUAGGUAGUCACUAAGCAUUUCAAACUCCAAUCAUGCUAUUAGGCUACCAUCAUGCAAAACCAUUUACUAGCAUACCAUUUCAAAUGAGACUCAUUUUAAUAACAACUUCUAACUUGCUUUAACUACAUCAUGACAUACAUUCCUUAAAAUAGCCUGCUAUUUCACAUACGUCUCAUAUAUAGCCACAAGGGACAUCAUAUCAACAUAUAAUUUCAAAAUUCACCUUCACACAUACUCAUGAAACCAUAAAACCAAGAUACGAAUAAAAAACUCACCCUUUCUCCCUCAAUCAUAGAGAUACAAUCUCAUCCAAGCAGUCACAUCUAAAAGAUCACUGGACAAGAAAACAUAAGAGAGAGAUCUUAUCGAGUUAUGUUCUAUGGCAUGAUAUGAGAAUGAUGAAUAAGGGAAACUCUAUCAUACUAUAGCCUCUCGUACAAUUUGAUGUGUCACGAAUCACCACCAAUGACACAAGACUCGACUAGACAUGGCAAUAUGAGACUUCCUAGACCCUAAACCUCUUUUUAAAAAUCUCAUGCUCUGAUACCAUGUUUGUCAUAUAUGGGGAGCACACCAUAGAAGUAACAUGGAGUACUUGACCUAUCAGAUGCCUUAUACAAGCACAUAGUUAUCAUUCAUCGCAUUGUCAUAGUACAUUUAGCAAAAAAUUUAAAACUAUCUUAGCACAUCAUAUGCUAGAACAUUUCUUCAUACAUAUAAAUAAAAUAUGAUAUUGAAUACUUAGACUCUAAGUCUCUUUGUCAUCUUAGAAUCAACAACAUUAGAAUACAUUACGGACACAACCCUUAAAACAUAAUAGAUAAGUAUAAAACUUAUAAAGCUUUACUGGUAAACAUAAGUAGGAAAUCCUUGGAACUUAAGGACCCCUUUCCUUGAGCUUGGGAAUCACAUAUCAAGCUCCUCAAUAGUAUAUACAUUCUUUAAGCAUCCAUAACCUACACUUUGUGAAAAAAAUAGAGAAUAAUGGGAUUAGUACAAGAAUGCCCUCAGUAUGGAAACUAAGCAAAACAUGCAUUAAAAAGGGACAUUUUCUUAAAUUGUACUUCAUGCCUUUUUGAGUAAAUAUUUAUAAAACCUUUAGACUAUUGCAUUUAUAUCAUUCACAUACUUCAUAUAGACAUAUUCAAAGGCCAAAAAUCAUUGAAAAACACAUACAAAAUUCAAGUUAUUUUUGAGUCACAUUACAAUAAGCACUUUUCUUUACAGUGAGUAUAAUCCUUUCACAGUAACUUCUUUUCUUUUAUUCAUUAACCUCCCAAGUAACCCUCUAGUGAUACUUGGUGUAAUGCAUCACCUUAAGGUCACAUGCAACAUACAUAGGCCAACACGUAUCAUCAUAUCAACAUAAUAUAUCAAAGACACAUCUAAGUCAAGAAUCUAUUGGCUUUACAGUAAAGUACAUCAAUUUGCACAUCUAUGGAGUUCACAUCACAUAACUCAUUAUAACACCUUGUUUAUGACCCCAAUCAUAGUCUACUAGAGAAAUGUACAUGUGAAGCCCCACAACCCACACAUACUUAGUAAACCCUUAAUGAGACCCACAAACCUUAUCAUUCAAUUCUUAAAUCAACAUAUUCAGUGAAGACAACCUCAUUCAUGUCAACAACCUUCAUCAUAUAUACCUUAGGACUCACAUAAUCCAUAUAAGAAUACGACCACAUCACAAAGACUCAUACCAUGCACAUCUUCAUGACAAAUAGACAAAUACUACCAUGCCAUGCAUAAAGACAUAACCAUAAUCAUGCACGUAAGAACACCAAUCUAUAACUUCCUAAGGAGUUAUUUGUGCAUUAUCUAGAUGGGUUCAUUACUUCCACCUAUCCUAAGUAACCUCCCUUAAGUCAUCCUAGUUAUGGUCCUAGUCAUUUACCUCUAUUAUCCAUUUUACAUUAUGAAACUAUAGCCUUAACCAACACUAAAAACAUUGGUGCUAAACAUGGAAUUUGGUGUUGUAGAGCCUUACACCAAUGGAAAGUGUCAUUGCCUUGCCAAGGUAGAUCAUUAACACAUGCUAGGACUUUAGUUGAUAUCACAUUGGUACAUCCUAUGUGACAAGCAUAGUUUAUGAAACUUGGGGGCAUCAUGUAAACAUCAACUCUAACACCCUUUUGGGCCAUGAGGCUAUCCAUCCUAUGAGGAAUAUGGUGACCUACCUUCCUACAAUAGAACGGGACACUCGUCAUCUUCAAGUUCACUUGUUUCUAAGCUAAUUUCCCUAUUGUUAAAAGACCUUAUUAAUAUUACUUUAAAAAAUAUAUUCUUAGGAAAUUUAACCCCUCAUAUGCUCAGCUCAUAGGUCAUAGAUGAGAGUUCAUCAGUCUAAAUCAUGUGAGAAACCCUUUCACAUGUACGUAUCAUAUAUCAUUAGCAUUAUCCAGUUAAGGAUACACUUGAGAACACCUUUCACGGCAACUGUAUUUACUAUAUCAUCAUUCAUGCAUGUGUAUAUACAUAUAUGUGAGAAAACCUUUCACAUAACACAUUAAGGUCACACAUGUUCAAACAUCAAUGCAUAAGUCUAUAGGUAUAAGCAUAUGAGCAAUAUAUUCAUAUGAACCCACUAUGACAUUAUGCACAAUCAUACUUCAUCAUAUCAUAUAUGUCAUAUUCAUAAUAUGCUAAUACAUGCACUUUCAUGUACAUAGAAACCAAAACUAGAAACUAUCCUAUCAAGGCACACAUGUGCAAUGCAUAGGCAAAGUCCCAUACCCUUGCUUAUACUAGUACACCUAUCAAGUCAUCCCAGUUAAGGAAACACAUAUCAUACUUUCAUAGACAUCAUCUUAACAUGCAUAUUAGUAGACACUAGUGAAUAUGAGAACUACCUUUCAUUUAGACACCAUGACCUUUACUACUUGUAACCAUGCAUAAUGUGUGGGUGUGUAUACAUUGGUAAGCAUGAUCACGUAAUGGCUAUCCAUAAAAUAUUAAGGUACAAACCCUCUUAUGAACAUAAUGCACAACAAUGCAUAGACCACACAACGCCAUUUAGCAUAGUAGGCUAGACAUUCUUCACAUUUCAUUCAAGACUCCUAACCUUAGCAAUUCACACAUUCACAUGGGGGUACAUGGGUAGGGUUCUUAAAUCCUUAUACUUCAUUAAUGGAACCACCUACUCAUGAUCUUAGCAUAACCAUCUACAUGCUCAUAACAAUAGUAAGAUAAAUUAGAUGGACAACUAAAGUAGAUGACUAGACACAAGUUACACAUAAGGUGAUCAUCAUAACCCCUCAUUCAUAUAUUAAUCAAUUUUCCUUCAAGUCUAUGGUAAACACAUAUAUAAUGAAAAUAAAGUAAACACCACCACCAUAAGUGGACCAUACCACACAAUGCCAUACAAGGCUUCAUCAACAUUACUACAAAGAAGUAGAGAAGAAGAGCAAUUCUUACCCAUUUAUCAAACUUUGAUCAUCAUUGAUAAAUACACCUUUCUCAUCAUUAAUAAAUUAUAGUACAGUAUCUAUAUGUACUUACAUCAUAAAAGAAACCAUGUACAAGUCGUUACAAGAUCAUCAUACAACUAGUGCACUAUAUCACAUAUAUCUUAGAAAGUAGAGAGUUAUAGAUCAUCAAUUAACUUUCUUCAUUUUUAUCAUCAAUCAUAAUGUAUCAAUAAUAUAAAUUUAUGGCAGUAGCUAAAGAUAUAGGAACCAAGUCGUAAUCAUGCUUUAUUCAUCUUAGGAUAUAGAUCACAACAUAUGCAUUACUCUAUAAAUGUCUAUAGGCUAGAAAGAAAUAAGUCAAUAUUUACCAUUUCUAUUGUUAUCUAUUCAUAUUUAAUCAAUUUUAAUUGAUGAUCACCAUGUUACAAAUAUUAGAAGUAGAUAAGGCCAUUUACCAUAAUAGAAUCACAUACUACUUGAUAGCUUAGCAGCACCUUUGUUGUGUUGCAUUUUGUGAUCUUCCGCUUCAGUCUGCGUUUUUCGGAUAGCCGGGACCCGAUGUUGAUUCCCGAUUUAAAUGUCAGCUCCCGGUUUGGGGCGGCCCAUCUGAUUAGUUCAGCUAUCACUGCUGGAAACCCCAGCGGUUGUUCGGCUGCGUACUCCCCGUCUGCCUAUCUCACACUCCCAAAGCAAAUUUGGAUUUCUUCUUUCAUUUUCCUUUCCUGCAUAUCAACUUAUACCAAACCUUCAUUAUUUUGACCAUACCAUAUUUAUAAUAAAAAUUCAACCAACUUAUUAACCUAAGGCAGUAGCUAUAAGAACCACAACAUAAUCGAAUUCAUUAAAACGUCCAUAUUAUAGUAAUCAAAUAAAGACAUGUAUUAGCCAUGUUCAAAUCUUCAUAUAUUGAUCCUCAUAGUUCCUUCAUCAUAAAUUCAUCAUUAAUACAUGUAAGUAACAGUAUAUAUAGACAAUUCAACAUAAGAGAAUCACUAUUCAACCAUUAACAAGCCAUGACCACAAUGCCCAUGCAAGGGCUAAAUUGAUUUUGGAAGGGACAUGGUUUCAUAAUGCAAUUGUAUUAAAAAUUAUGUUAAAACCAAUACAUUAAUAUAAAUUCAUCAUGAUUAACCCAUUAGAAACUUUUUUAGAAGGAACCCAUGGCUAAAUUGAAGAAGAAGAACUUUGAUCAUGAAACUUCUUUGAAAAACAGUGAGAUAAACUCUCCAAGUGAAAGGUUACUUCGAGAUGAAGAAUCACAUUACCUUUACAUUCAUGAAAACCUUUAAAAUGUGAUGAAUAAAGCAUAGGAAUUCAAACUCUAACUUGUUCUUCAGCUUCAUCGACAAUGGAGAUUUCUAGGGAGAAGAUUUUAUUCUAAUUUGUGUAAAAGGGAUUGGGAAUGGGUUUUUCACGUGUUUGAUACCUUAAAUACACCCAAAAAUCAAUAAAUAAACCUAGUAUUGUAAUGUUAGUACGUGGGAUGAAUUUCCCAUUCACCCCUUUAAGGAGGCAGUGGCAUGGCAGCAGUUGUAAGCCACAAUUGACGGGAAGCAUCAACGGCCAAUAGGUCCAUCGACGGGCCGUAUGUGGCUUCAUUUGAUCGGAAAUUGGCAUGUUCUUAGGUUUAUACUUUACCAGGGUAAUUUUUCAUCAACGAGAACCCACAAACGGUCCGUUGGUCAACCAACUGGGCAUCGUUUGGCUCGUCGAUUUACCCUUCCAAGGUAGUGCCUCAACAGCUCUUGGGUCCUUCUUGUGUGCCCUUUUGUGGGUCCCUUGAGAAGUCGUAUCCUAAUGUUGACAAAAUAAAUAUAAACCUAAGUUUUAGAUCUCCCACAUCAGUUCAAAUAUGCAUGGCCCCAUUAAGACACACAUGAGCAUCUCAAGGGAUAACUUUCGAACGUAAUGGACGUGUGACCUCCAAACUUCACGAAACUCCAUAUACUGACUAUAAAAAUAAUUAUAACUAAUUUUAAUACUUCAAAAGAUCAUGAAAAACCAUAUAUAAGCACGCACAGAAACAUGAGACACAUAGGUGACUAAUCGUCGAACGUCUCUGUCGUCCCUUGACGUUUGACUUCAAAAUAACCUCAAACAUUACAUACUGCCUAUAAAAAUAUUUUAAUUCAUUCAAUGCCUUUAUAAAAUUAAGGAAAACAUGUUAGUAUCUAUACACCCUAACUCAUUUUGGGGUCUUUUAGUGGGGAUAUAAGACUUCACCUAUGCAUUGCACAAGUAGCUUUUGAGGGAAGUCCUAUGAAGCUGUUCUAAUGUAAAUAAAUAUGUAUAUGUUACUUAUUCAUGUCAUUGUAGUAAUUAUUUACUGUUUUUGAAGUGCAUGGUAUGAGUCUUAAUUGAUCUAUGUGAUGUGGCCUUGCCCUUAUAUGAACCGUGGUUGUCUUAAUGACUAUAUGAUGAAGGUAUUUUUGUCAUAAAUUAAGUUUUUUAUAUGGAUUUGUUGAUGUAUUAAAAGAAGUUUUAAGUCUUGUGGUCUCAUGAUAGGUCUACUAAGUAUGUGUGAGGUUAUGGGGCUUCACAAGUACAUUGCACUAGUGGACUUAUAUUAGGAUUGUGAGUAAGGUUUACUAAUGUUCUAUAUGAAGUUAAAUUAGUAUAUGUUUAAAGUGGAUAGAGUUUACUGUAAGGUUCCUAAAGUCUUGGCUUAAAUAUGUCUUUGAUGUAUUAUACUUCUAUGAUUGUGUGUGUUGGCUUAUAUAAGUUGUAUAAUUGAUUCCUUGUGGCCUUAAUGUAAUUCAUUGCACCAAGUAUCACUAUAGGGUAACUUGGGAGGUUAUGAAAUUAAAGAAAAGAUGUUCACUGUUAAAGGAAAAAUGUUCACUAUUAAGGGAAAUGGCUCGCUGUAAAAAUGACCCUAAAAGUUGCUUAAAUUCUAUGUGUGAUCUUAUAUGCUAUUUGGACUUUGAUUAUGUCUAUAUGAAGUAUGUUAAUGAUAUAAAUGCUAUUGCAUAAAGGUUUUAUGAAGAUUUACUCAAAAAGGCAUGAAGUAGGAUUUCAAGAAAGAUGUCCCUUUUAAAUUCAUGUUUUUGCAUGGUUACCAUACUUAGUGUAUUCUUGUACUACCUCCACUCUUCUCUAUUUUUUUACAAAAAGUGUAUGUUAUGUAUGCAUAAAGGAUAUCUUUAAUGGUGAAGAGCUUGAUAUAUGUUUCUCAAGCUCAAGGAAAGGAAUCCUUAAGUCCAAGGAUUCCUAAGUCAUGUCUUUACUAUAAAUUGUAUAAUAUAGUUCUUAUGUUUUAUCUUUUAAGGUUCGUGUCGCUAAUGUAUUCUAAUAGUGUUGAGUGUAAGUUAGAAAAGAGACCUGAGUAUUUUACUGUGUAUGAUGAUAUUUUAUAUGUAUGAAGUAAUGUUGUAGCAUAUGAUUUCUAAAUUUUUAAAAAAUAUUCCGCUAAAUUUACCUAUGACAAUGAGAUAAAUUAUAAAUAUGGGAUUGUAUAAGACCUCAAAGAGGUCAAGUAAGCCAUGUUACUUCUAGGGGUGCUCCCCAGAUGGGACACAUACACUCCUCACAUAGGUAGCUUACAUAGACUUCUCUUUUACACAACAUAAGCAAUAUACAUGAUAUAGUCUAAUAUGAUUGUCUCACAUAAAACCAUCUUAAAAAUAGUACAAUAUUUCGUCUUUGCCAAUACAACUUUAAAAUGCAAUAUACGCUUACAACAAUGUAUCAAACAAUAUAGGAAAAAAUAAACAUCUCUAUACAUAAGCAACAACAUCGCUAGAAAAGUGAAAAGUAUAAUCCUUAAACAUGAGGACCUACCAACAACUUGGAGGAAAGUGUGCAAAUCUUUUUGAAGAGUGGCCUUCGAAACUUCCAUUGGCCGGAACCUACAUAUUUGUAGAAAACAUAGAAAUAUGGAUCAG